rnacentral:lncRNA from 1 species
ACGGUGGAGUAACUGUGCUCUCGGUUGGCGUGAACUCGUUCUGGUCUUGAGAUAGCAGGGGGCGGGUUGGCAUAUGCAAGGGUUAAGUGCUACAUAUGUCAUGUGGUUAGAUAUCCCCAGCUGGGUAAAUCGAUUCAGAUCACUGUUAUAUCCUCGGACAAUGGAGACUUGAUCACUGUCCUGCAUCGUAGGUCAAGGAUGGAAUCACAAUGAGUAAAAAUAUUGCUGUAUUGAUUAAUGUGAUGAUGAAAUUAGACUAGGUGCAAGCAAGGUCAAUUAAUACUUAAUCCGGCAUUAAAAUGUUGAAAGUAAGGAUCCACUGUUAGAUGCUUAUUUCUGCAAAUGAGUAAGCUUGAUUUUUGCUAAAGCCUUUCCUUGAUUCCCAAAAGCCACCAUAUCCUUGAGAGUUUUUUCUUUAGUCGGAUAAGACUUGCGAAAGUACCUUCGUACUCAGGGUUCUUUGAACCCAUGUUGUUGCAGGUACUAGGUUUGUGCUGCUGUGGAUGGUGCUAAGUGCCGGUGGGCUCGACCUUCCUAUAUAUAAGUAGCUCUUCUAUCUUCUUUUUUGAGGAUUGUCACUUAAGCUAGCAUGUAUUUCGAACUUACAAACAUUUUAUAACAUUUCAAAGUGUAUUUCUUUUGAAUCACUUUUGUAAUCACUCCGAUAAAUAUAAUGUAAACCUGUUGUAACUAGUAACAUUUUGUAAUAAAGAAUUUCCGCUACAAAUGUUGGUGUGUGAUUUGUGUUUACUUAAUCCUGCGAUCUUGGUUAUCAGUGGUUUAUCCGGGGUCCUCGGGACACUCGGACAGAUCCUUUUAAGUUACCUGGUGUACAUGCAUAGCCGUCUGAGGUCUUUGAGACGAGGAUAGGUGCAUGUGAGCCCGAUAACUUGGGAGGUUCUGUCAGACUUUGUUUGCUUUGUCUUCUUUGCUGUCUGUCAUAGAGGAGCAGGUGGAGAGCCUUGGGGAUGAGAAGCUGGCGCUUGUGGCCACCCGGUUCACGUGAUUCCACAACAACCACCAGAACCGACAACGUGGUAGGUCCAAGGAUGGAUGCUUCAACUACGGUGACCCCGAGCACUUCAAUGCCAGUUGCCCCAAGAAGGACAAGUCCGAGGCUGGCCCACGCGACCACCACUCUGGUCGGCGCAAGGGCAAGCGGGAGCACACCUCUUGCAAGCACAAGUCCAGGGGGAAGUACCUCCAGAAGGCCAAGGUCAAAAAGCAUGCCUUCCUCGCCUCCCUGAGCGACCUCGACCACGACUCCAACGAGUCGGCCUCCUCUUCGAGCGACGAGGAGCUCGAGAGACACGUUGAGGACAAGCUCAACGGGUUGUGCUUCAUCGUCGACACCGUAGGAGGUCUUUACACCAUGGCCCAUGGUGAUUAUGCAGUUGGUGGCGACAGCAAUGACAUCAGCGACGACUCUGCUUUUGAGGUAUCAAAUUCCGCCCACUGAGGUAGAAGAGUUGAACAUUGCUUUGGCAAAUUAGUACAAGUUGCUUAGGCUUGCUGCUUGUGAGAGGAAAGAGUUUAAAUCCAAGUUUGAGUCCGCUAGAGCUUCAGUUGUGGUGUCCGACAAGACUAAAUGUGAUGGGUUUGCCCUUCACAUGUCGAACAUCGCCACUUUGCAGACCAAGUAUGCCACCCUGCUAGAUGAGUGCGGUGAGCUUCAAUCUAGGUCUAGCUUGUUGGGCGCAUGUCAGACUUGUCCUAGCUUGCAGACUGAGCUAGCGGAGAAGAACGCUAGGAUAGCCUCGCUUGAGAAGGCUAGCUCAGUGAGUGCAUCUACACCUAUGCAGUGUGCACUCUAUGAGGGUUUGUAGUCUGCUCUUGAGUCCUACAGACAUGACGGAUCAGACAAAACGUGUCCAACAUCUCGGGGCUCAAAAGAAGCAACAAAAGCUGAGUGAGCAAAGUGGGACAUCUGCUGAUACCUGGAGCGAGUGACUCACUCAUUAAGCUCACCAAUCAUUUGUUGAGGAGGGUGAUCACGCUGGAUAUGUCGUGGAGCCUCCCUCAAAGAAGUGGCCUCCCCCUCAACAGCAACCUGACCACCUCCAGGCGCAACAGGUUCCGGCUCGACUGGACCUCAAGUGGUAGAAGAAGUGAUGUCGGGUCCGUCAUCCGAAGUCAUCGACACAGGCUCAACCGGGGGAGCCGGUGGAGACGGCUCAUAAUCGCCCCAGUCAGCGUCGUCGUGCUCCUCCUCCAUGAAGAUGGUCUCACCCAUAUGAUUUGGACUUGUAGGCUCAAAGACAGGGGGUGGACUAGGCAAAGUCUCAUCAAAGGUCACCUCAUAAGUCUCUAUGAUUCAGUUAUUCUCAAGGUUAAGAACACGAUAAGCACGAGAGUGUAAUGCAUAACCGAGAAAAACACCAUCAGAAGACCAUGACUCAAACUUGUCCAAAUUAUCCUGUUUCAAGACAAAUCACUUGAAGCAAAACACCCUGAAAUGGCUAACCUUGGGUGGCCAUCCAAAUUGCAGCUCAUACGAAGUCUUGUUUAGAAAAGCACGAAGAAAGAUGUGAUUGGACACAUGGCAGGCUGUGUUGAUUGCUUCAGCCCAAAAACGCCUAGGAGUCCUAUGCUCAUCAAGCAUCGUCCUGGCCAUCUCAACAAGGGUCCGAUUCUUGCGUUCAACAAUGCCAUUCUGCUGAGGCACAUACGGAUAGGAAAACUUAUGCUCGAGUCCCAAAGAGGCACAAAAAGUCUCAAAAUGAGUGUUUAUGAAUUCUGUGCCAUUGUCACUGCUUAUAGCUCUCAUGACAUUCUUAGGAAACUCAUUUUGCAAUCAAAGAAUCAAAUCUUGAGCAUGAUCAAAAGCCUCAUCCUUCACCUUCAUGAAGAACACCCAAGAAUAGCGAGAAAAGUUGUCAACGACCACAAGUACAUACCACAUCCCCCCAAAAGAGCAAACCCGAGCUGGACCAACAGUGUCCAUAUGAAGCAUUUCGCUGGGUUGCGAAGUCAUCACCUUGGUGACCGGGGAAUGGGAAGCGACAACCAUCUUGUUGUGACGACAAGGGUGACAGACAAGAUUUUUCUCAAAUUUUAAUUUGGGCAAUCCUUGGAUGAGGCCAAGUGAGCUCAGUUGACACAAAAGAUCAAAUCUCAAAUGAUCUAGUCUCCUAUGCCACUUCCAAAUCAAAGAGGAAGAUCAUGCCAAAAGGCAUCGAGAGGGGCCAAUCGAAUGGGAAAAAUUAGCUCGGAAAACUAAUCCAAAUGGAGAAAUCUAGAAAACAAGAUCUCCCUUAACAUCCAAAACAUGAGAAAGACCCCUCUUAAAGCGCACUUCAUAGUCAUCCUCAAGGAGUUGUGACACAGAAAGUAGAUUGAAAUGCAAAUUUGAAAACAAGGCAACAUCCUUGAGGACAAAAAUCUCGUUCACUUGAACGGAGCCACGAGAGACAACCUUACCUCUCGACUUAUCCCCGAAUGUGAUGUAUUCUUUAUCAAUCAUAGGGUCGAUGCUAGAGAGGUGGUGGCGACGACCGCUCAGGUAGACUAGCGUCAGCCCCUCAUCGACCGGCUGACUGACGGGACCCUACCAGAAGACACGACCGCGGCCAGGCGGCUCUCCCGGAAAGCAAAAUCCUUCGUGGUUAUCAAUGGGGCGCUCUACAAGAAGGGCGCCUCUGGUGUCAAGCAGAAGUGUAUCACGCUCGAGGAAGGACGGCAGCUGCUCGUCGAGGUACAUGGAGGAACGUGCGGACACCACGCGGCACCGUGAUCCCUGGUUGGCAAGGCAUUCAGGCGAGGAUUCUACUGGCCCACGACCAUGGCCGAUGCCGAGCAGGCCGUUCGCAGUUGCGAAGGCUGCCAGUACUAUGUGCGGCAGACCCACAUGCCAGCACAGGCCCUCCAAACCAUACCCGUCACUUGGCCAUUUGUGGUCUGGGGGUUGGAUUUGGUCGGGCCCUUCAAAAAAGCACCCAGGGGCUGCACCCACCUACUCGUGGUGGUGGACAAGUUCACGAAGUGGAUCGAGGCCAAGCCGAUCACCAAGAUCAAGUCUUCGGAAGCCGCCACCUUCUUUCGGGACAUCAUCUAUCGGUUUGGGGUACCCAACUCCAUCAUCACAGACAAUGGGACCCAGUUCACGGGAGAGCCAUUCUUGCAGUUCUGCGAUGACUUCAACAUCCGCAUCGACUGGGCCAUGGUGGCUCACCCAAGGUCAAACGACCAAGUUGAGCGCGCUAACGGUCUAAUCCUACAGGGACUCAAGCCGUGAAUAUUUCGAUAAGCUGAAGAAGUUCGUCGGACGGUGGGCAGCCGAGUUGCCCGCAGUGCUCUGGGGCCUACGUACCACGCCCUCUAGAGCGACGGGGUGCACGCUGUUCUUUCUGGCAUUCAGGGCAGAGGUGGUCCUGCCCAUGGGGCUAGAGUAUGGCUCAACAUGGACUAAAAUCUAAAGCGACAAGCAAGCAACGGUAGACGCGCAACUUUCAGUCGAUCUGCUCGACGAAGCGCGAGACGAGGUCGUGAUAUGCUCCGCCAAGUACCAACAAGAUCUACGCCGCUACCACGACAAACAAGUGCGAGGCAGGUCAUUCAACGUCAGCGACCUUGUCCUAAGGAGAGUGAUGGCCACAAAGGACAAGCACAAACUCUCACCACCUUGGGAGGGUCCCUUCAUCGUCGCCUAGGCUUUACGCCCGGGGGCUUAUUGACUCAAGGAUGGCGACGACAAUCUCCUGAACAACGCAUGGAACAUCGAAAAUCUGAGGAAAUUCUAUCCCUGAGCGAUUCUCCAACCCUCUCUUUACAUACAAGCAGUGCGUGCCGACCAAUUCGCCACGCCCUGCUCGGGGUCCGGGAUACCGGGAUAUGGGCACCCUCCAAUACCCUAGCCGGAUGGUCAUACGCAAAGACUAAGGCACAUAAAAGGAGAAGAAUGUGAUGGUGAAGCCAGAAAUGAAGUCAUAUACGGGAUGCCUUGCAAGAAACCCAAAAGUUCAUUACAUCCAAGGGGCGAGCGCAGCCUAGGCGGGGGCGGACGGAUCACCGGCAGGAGCUUCUGGACUCAGGGGUUGGUCAGGAGGAGCUUCACGUCAACCCAGCUAGCGAGCGACCGGGCAUAAGGGCGGACUUGUUCUUCAAUGAUGUCCAGCUCCUCCUCGCUCCAUCCGGCAGUGUAACCCUCGGCAAUCACGGCGACGUCGAUCUCAUCGAAAUGCGAGACCAUCUGCCACAGGGCCAUGCUGCUCCUGAGGUACGCGCCUUCAAGAACCACCCACUCCACGUGCCCAGGCAGCGCCCGCAGCCAGUUCGCCAGGAGCAUCUCAGCCGACAGCGGGGGGAGAGUUGGUCGCACACCUCACCUGCGACCCGGUGAAGCUCUUGGAGCUCGGCGCACCGCUCCGAAAGCGAGGUCUCCGCCUGGACCUGUGCGGCGAUGGCGCCGUCACAGGCAAGCGAAAGUUUACGCACCUCAGCUUCUACCUUCCCCUUCACCUCUAUGGCCACGUUCAUUGCAUCCCGAGCCACGGAAAAGUCCUUUUGAAGAUCUACCCCCAGAACAUGGUUAGUAGAAGAAGAGCCAAGAGUCGAACUGUAACACCCCUGGUGUUACGGUAACUAAAACCUUGACAUGUCAUCAUAAGCAUUUGCAUUAACUUGCUUGUUACACCUAGAGUGCAUUCACUAGGUCAAUUUUUUUUCAAAAGUGUGAUGGUUGUGUAUUAGAGUACAAGACUUAGUUGAGAGCCUUGCUUGAGUUGAGUAGGUGAGAAUCAUCUUCUAAGCAAGUGACAAGUUGGUUUGAAGUCUUAAAGCGCUAAAGUCAAGGCUUAGAACCUAGAGCAACUUUGCUUUCAAAGGUAGAUCAGGUGGAAGAAACACUUGAGCCAAAGGAUCAACUUCAAAACCCUAAGUGAGGUUGGAAAACCCUGUGUGGAAUUGUAAAUAAGCAAACAACUCCUAAACUAAGGACAUUUUGGACAUGAGCUAUAUAUACCAAAGUUGGAUCUUAGGCUAGAGAGUAACCUUGUUUUAGGUGGAUGGAUCAAAGGGAUGAAUCACUAGAAGAAACUGAAACACAGAUGAAACCCAUUUGAAACCCUAAAUUAGCCCAAAGGAGGAAUUCAAAAUUUGGAAGGAUUUAGCUAAAAGUCUAUAUACCAAAGUUGUAGAGCUUGGUAAAGUGAACAACUUUCAUAUUUAGAGAUUUCCACGUUCUGUAGAAGAAUUUGGAGUAAAUUACAAAAGUUCGGAUUUGGGUAACUUGGAUUCAACCCAAAAUAAUUGAAUUUACCUGUUUCUAGAGCCCUGUAACUUUUAAUCCGUGGACUUUUGGUAAAAGAUUUCUAUAACAAGUUUGUAGAGUAAUUAUUGGAGAACAAUUUUUGUUAAGUAUAAUAGACCUAAAACUAUGUUCUACUGGGAGAAAAAGUGGUCCAAAAAGGUGAUGUUAGAAUUUUGGAUUUCAGACUUAACCUAAUGGCUGAGAUCUGAAUUUCAGCACAACAUAGCCAUGUUUGUACCUCUGUAGUGGCCAACCUGUGGAGAACUAAGUUAUGGUUGUUAUAGCAAAGAGGUAGAGUGAUAGUAGGAGAGUGAGUUUUAUUAAAGGUCACAGCCCUAAAUCUAUAUGCAACUUGGAGAAAAGGUUUCCCAAAGAAGGGUUGGCAGAUUUCUAGAGUUUCAGACCAGGAACAGUAAGUCUGAAUUUCAGUAUUGGUGGUUGUUUUAGAGUUCCAUUUGUGGCUGAUCUGAAAUGUUUGGACUAUGGAGUCUAUAGAGAAAUUGAAGACCAUAAGUUGGAGGACAAAUGGCCUUAAGGGUGAUGGUCAUGAUUCUACAUGGAAAAUGGAGUAAAGUUAGUUCCAAAAGCAGUUGUCAGGUUUGCACUAAUUGAAUGUUUGAUCAGCUGCUGAAAACUGAAAUCAGUAAUGGAUGCAUAGUUUGGAGGCUAUUGGUGACUGAUUUAUGUGGUUUUAGAUUAAGAGUUAUAUAGCAAACUUGGAGACCAGUGUUAGGAGAGUAAUAUUUAAUAAGGGUUAUGCCCUUAAAACUGCUUAGAAUUGGGAGAAAAAGCUAUUCCAAGUUGUGCUGUCAGACUCAAGGGAUAUGAAUCUAGUUAACUGUUGCUGGCAACAUAAGUGUGUUUUUAACCACCUUUGGAGCUCCAUAAUAAUCAGUCCAAAGAGAUUUGGGUUAAGAGAUCUGUAGUAAAAUGAAAGACCUAGUGUAGAGGAGCAAGAUCAUGCUAAGAGUUGGUCUUGUUAUUCUAUAGAAUCUAGAGUAAAACUGUCCUCAUCAUAUGCUGUCAGACUAUACUAGUCUUUCUCAGAUUCAGACUACUGAAUUGGGUUCAGAGAAUUGUAUCCAACUUUGAGGCACUAUAACUUGUAAUCCAUAUGUUUUUGGCCCUAGAAUAUUGUAACAAGCUUGAAGAUCUAUGUUGGGUGAGCAAGUUUUGUGAACUAGGGUCAGCCUGUUGUCACUGAAAAUUUGGAGAAGAAUGGGUUCCAAGUCAGGCUGACAGAUGUGGUGCAGGGCUGUUCAGAUUACUGAAAAUAGAUUUUCAGUGAUGUUGGCUCUACUUUGGCACACCAUAACUUCUGUUCUAAAUGUUUUCAACCUAGGGGUGCUAUACCAAAGUGCUAGAGCUACAUUUGGAGAAUAUUUUUGGUUAAGGAAGAAGGGUCAGUUGCCAUAUGGAAUUGUGAGUUAACAGGGACUGCACAUGGAGUUGUGGAAUGGGCAACAAAACUAAUGCAGUGGUUCUAGAGUUUGAUAAAUAGAUGAAAAAGAUCUUUCUCUCCCUGCUAGGUUCACUUAUGAGUAUAGAUGAAGUUGUGGAUGAAGGAUACAACUAAGGUUCUAAAGGUCCCACUUCCUACUGAAAAAAUCCCCAAGUGUGGACUGUUUUGUUGAGUGAAACCUUAUCUCAUGGCUCUUUGAUCCAGUGAACUGCACAACAAAGAUGGUAGUGGUCUCACCCCUGCCAAAUAUCAAACUAGGGACCCUUUAGUGCUUAUCCACCAGUGAGUUCUCAGUUGCCUUCUCCUGUCUGCAAUUUGAGACAAAACUGAUAUUUUGGUGGUGUGAGGCAGACCAAAAUUCAUUGUAUCUGGGCUGUGCUGUGAACCUGCGUGGUUGUAGUGCAUGGGAGCCACCUCUUUGAGUCCCUGUUGUGUUGGCACCCCAGGAGAUACUCUCCCACUGCAUGGUUGCCAGAUCAAGGACACUUGCCUAUGUUUAAAUGCCUCAAGUACUUGGUUCCAGUGAAGUUCAUCCCAGCCCUCGAGUUCUAGCCCUGGGUCACUGCUAGUACGUGGUGAUCCUCGAGUCUGCAAGCCUAUGUUAGCUCCCCUCUUCAGUUCCAGGUGUGCCUAGCCUUGUGUUCGCGCACCAACCUCUACCAGUGGUGACCAUAGCCACUAGAUUACUCACCUCACCAUGGCCAGGACAUUCCAGGGAGUUGCACGGCCGCGUGGUCCACGUUCCACCUUCUUCAAAGGUCAGUGAAGCUCUUCUAGUUGGUAGUUCCAGUUCUACUAUCGUGUGUUGCUUGGAACAUAGCGGCGCCGUCAUGGGUUGGCGCCGUAGGCAGUCUCCACAUCGAACUGUUAAGCCGCACCGUCCCCUGUUGGUUUCACGCACGCAUCGUAGAGUUGAGAGGUCUCUGAAGCUCCCCAUCUCAUUUGUUUGAACACUACCGUGCGGUGGUCGGGGAAUUGAGUUCGUCGGAUCCAGUGUUCCGCCGCCGCCGUCGGUAGCUAGUGGUAGAGUCCUCUCGGGUCGAUUGAGCAUAGGCCUAAGUUCACCAUGGGUUGGGGAUCAUGCUGGGGUCGUCGCCGUUGUCUGUACUGCACCACGAUGGCCGGACCGGCGCUAGGUCGCCGGAGUUUCGCGUGGCAGCGUCGGUGCCGAGAAAUUGUAAAAGGGAGAUAGACGUGGGGUGUCUGCGCGAUUGUCAGUGGCACAAACAAAUAGUGGCAGGAGCUCGGGUUGGUUAAGUUGGAGCACGAGGGCUUUAGCGCAAAAUGGCCAGUGCGGACGCGGGCUCCCCAGCCGUGGGCCGACUCUGCCUGGAAAUGGGCCGACUAGGUCAGUUUCAGCCGAGAUUAAGGAUUUUUCUUUAUUCUUUUGUCUGAGAGAUUAUAAGAGUUACCAAAAAUCAUAGAAACAACCAAAAAUCGUGGGACAAAUUUUAUCGUGGGACAAAUUUUAUAUGGGCGGUGCGCUCCGAGUCGCCCAUAUACCACCCGGUCGCCAUCCACCGCGACCCCGGGCACGUCCACCCGAUGGUGACUCGGCGCGCAGCCGGCGUUCUCCGCCCCGUCGACCGGCUGAUCCUGGCAGCUACUACGUCCAGCACCCCCCCCCCCCGACGCUUCCCCGGUGCCCUCCUCCGUUCGCACUGCCCUCGCCGACCCACAUUGGCGUCGGGCUAUGGAGGAGGAGUACGCGGCCCUCUUGGCCAACCACACCUGGGACUUGGUGCCGCGUCCACCAGGCACCAAUGUGGUCACCGGCAAGUGGCUAUUCCGCCACAAGCUGACCUCGGAUGGCUCCCUCGACCGCUACAAGGCCCGUUGGGUCCUUCGGGGUUUCACACAGCGCCCCGGAGUGGACUAUGACGAGACCUUCAGCCCCGUCGUCAAGUUCGCCACUGUUCGCGCCGUCCUCUCCCUCGCCCUCUCCCGCGACUGGGCGAUUCAUCAGCUCGAUGUCAAGAAUGCCUUCCUCCAUGGCACUCUGACAGAGACUGUCUACUGCAGCCAGCCCACCGGCUUCGUCGACGCCGACCGUCCGGAUCUGGUCUGCCGGCUGAACCGGUCCCUGUACGGCCUCAAGCAGGCGCCACGGGCUUGGUACAGUCGCUUUGCCUCCCACCUGGCCUCCAUCGGCUUCAUUGAGGCCAAGUCGGACACGUCCCUGUUCAUCUACCGGCGCGGCGACGACACCGUCUACCUCCUGCUCUACGUCGACGACAUUGUACUCACGGCAUCCACCGCCGACCUUCUACACCGCACGAUCGUCGCCCUUCAGCGGGAGUUCGCGAUGAAGGACCUGGGGCCCCUCCACCACUUCCUCGGCAUCACCGCCGAGCGUCGGCCUCAGGGUCUCUUCCUCCACCAGCGCCAGUACGCCAUCGACAUCCUGGAGCGGGCUGGCAUGUCUGACUGCAAGCCCUGCUCCACGCCUGUCAACACUCAGGCGAAGCUCUCUGAGGACGACGGACCUCCGGUCUCCGACGCGACGUCCUACCGGAGCCUGACCGGCGCGCUCCAGUACCUCACCUUCUCCAGGCCCGACAUCGCAUAUGCCGUCCAGCAGGUGUGCCUGCAUAUGCACACUCCGCGGGAGCCCCAUCUCACCGCGCUCAAGCGCACUCUGCGCUACCUCCGUGGCUCCCUCGACUACGGCCUUCUCCUCCGACCGUCCCCGACGUCGGAGCUCGUGGUCUACACCGACGCUGACUGGGCUGGCUGUCCCGACACGCGCCGGUCCACCUCCGGUUACGCCGUGUUCCUGGGCGCCAACCUAGUCUCUUGGGCCGCUAAGCGUCAGCCCGUCGUCUCUCGCUCCAGCGCUGAGGCCGAGUACCGUGCCGUGGCCAACGGCGUGGCCGAGGCCUCCUGGCUGCGCCAGCUCCUCCACGAGCUCCACAGUCCCCUCCAGCGCGCCACCCUCGUCUACUGCGACAACGUCAGCGCGGUCUACCUCUCCACCAACCCCGUGUAGCAUCAGCGCACGAAGCAUGUGGAGAUCGACCUGCACUUCGUCCGCGAGCGUGUCGCUGCCGGUGACGUUCGGGUUCUCAGCGUCCCCACCACGCUUCAGUUCGCCGACAUCUUCACCAAGGGGUUACCGUCGAGUGUCUUUUUAGACUUUCGAUCCAGUCUCAACAUCUGUACAGGAUAGAGUUGUGACUGCGGGGGGUGUUAGACUACCCAUCUAGGGUUUGUGGUGUCCCUCUUGUAAUGACCGUCAUACCCCCUGUGUAAUGGGCCUGGCCCAGUUACUUACCCUAUUAAUACCACUCCCAACCCCUGUUUAGGGUAUGGGUUCAGUUUCCAAUAGGGACAUUGUAGAAAAUGGAUUUAGUAUACCCGAUAUUCAUGAUGAAGAUUAAAAUGAAGUAGCAGUAGAAGAACAAAUUCAUAGAAAUGCCCAAGCCACUGCUGUUCUGUUAGCUUCUCUAUGCAGGGAAGAAUACAAUAAAGUGAACGACUUGGAGAAUGCAAAGGAAAUAUGGGACACAUUGCACAUUGCGCACGAAGAAAACAUGAUGACCAAAAUCACCAAGAUGGAGGUUGUUGAAGGUGAACUUGGGUGGUUUACCAUGAAAGAGGGGUUAAGGGCCACAAGAAAUGUAAAACAGGCUCAAGUCCCUGGUGAACCAAGUUCACAACUACGGGAGCACAAUAUUGUCGGACCAUGAAGUCUUACGACUCAUGUUAAGGUCAUUUAGCGUUUUUUAUGCUAACCUUGUCUCUCUAGUUCACGAAAACCCCAGAUAUACGAAGAUGAGCCCCGAGGAGGUGUUGGGAAAAAUCGUCAACCAUCAAAUGAUGGUUAAGGACGUGAAAUACAUCAACGACAUCGCCAAUGGGAGCCUCCCCAUCAACGAACCACAAGCCACCGCAUUCAAAGCGAUGAACAACAAGGAGGCGCUUCCCAGCAAGGUGGUGUAAGUUGAGGCGACCGGCCUCAACGAAGAGGAGAUGGCGCUUGUCAUCAAGCGCUUCAAGAACGCACUAAACGGGCGCAGGGACUUCUCCAAUAGGGGCAAAUAAAGGGGGAAGCGCGCCUGCUUCAAGUGCAGUAAGACUGGUCACUUUAUUGCUAACUGCCCUAGUAAUGAGAAUGACUAGGACAAGUAAAAGAACGCGAGACUACGCGCCAACUUUGGUUGGCCGUCUACAACCUCUCCACUAUCAUAUCUCCUUGCCCCUCCCCCCGAUUAGAAGCGAGGUAUGUCUUCUCCCCCUAUCCCAGCCCCUCCCCCCGACCCCAACCCCUCCCCUUCCUCCACCAGCCACCACAGCCCCUCGAUGACUGCUACUCCGGCGCCGGCGACCACACCUCUGCCCUGUUCUCUUGGCUUCUGCACCUCUCAGGUGGGGCGGUCCAAGUUCCAGCGAUGGGAUGACAACGCUUCGGGUUCCUCCUCUGGUGGUACGGUGCACUCCUAUAAAGAGGCCCUCCUUUCCUCUUCUAGCGCCACCGCCCUGGAGUUGGACGUACGCACUUCUACCAUAGCAAGGCCGAAGCUCUGUGACAAGGAAAGGAGGCUGUGCCGGCGUGAAGACCUGGUGCCGGCUGACAAGGAGGAUGGCUGGCAGGUGGUGAAGAGCAGAAAGCAGUCUCGUUGUGCUUCGGCGCGGAGAGGGACCAGUGUGAACCUCCGCGGGAGAUGCUUCAACUGUCUCUCUCCAAACCAUCUCGUGGCUUCGUGUCGGUGCCCCCCUCGCUGUUUUAGGUGUUUCAAGCUCGGACAUCAAGCCUCUCGGUGCCCUGCCAUUCAGGCCGGCCCUCUGCAGCUGAAGACCCCAGGUCGCUUGCGUGACCGUCUGGAAUUUGACAAGUCAUACCCGGUGGGCAAGAGGUCAGUCUGGCAUCGUUUAGAAGAGCCCAGCAAACGCCUCUCGGUGUUCAAGAGGCUAUCUUCUCAGAAGGUCUCCCCCCCGCAGUGCAGAGCUGGGAGUGCUGCUCCUCCAAAGAAGAAGUCAGUUUGGGUGCGUAUCUCUCCCGCACCCCAAACAUCCGUCCAGAAGACUAAUCAGCCAUCUCCAAUGUUGAACAACUGUGCCCCGGGUGUUGAUCAACGUUCUUUUCGCAACAAGAGGAAAAGAAGAAGGUCCAAGAGCAAAAAAGGAAAAGGCCCUGCUGAAGCUGCGGGUUCGGGGGUGUGUUCAGAUUCCCCUCCCUCAUCUCCUGAAGCUCAUUUCUCCCAGUCGAGGAUGGAAUUCCAUGCCGCAUCUCCCCCAACCAUUGAAGCUUCACGUGUUCUUACGUUCACUGAUGAGAUGGCAAGGGAAGAGAUCAAUUUACGAAAAGCCCUGUUUGUCACCAUCGCAGGUACUAGACCUGUGGUACAGGGAUCGGAGGUGUUGGAUGAGGUGGCUCGCAGCUUUGGGGUAUGUAUUGAUAACAUGUCCAUCCAACAUUCCUCACCAGAGGAUUUUCUGCUUUUCCUGCCGGAUGAGGACACUGCCUCCAGGAUUUUCAAUGGGGGCAGAUUAUUCACUGGACCUCGUUUCUGCUUAAUGUUCAAAAGAUGGUCUCGUUUCUCGCAUGCUUCUAUGUCUCGCAUGUCUCACUUAGUGGAUGUGCAGAUUAGGGGAAUCCCUGAACAUGCAUGGUCUUGCUCCACUGCGGAAGCUGUUCUUAACGACUCAUGUCAUAGUGUUGAGAUCCAUUCUGACACCCUGAUGAAAAAGAGUCUCUCAUCCUUUACAGUGCGAGCAUGGUGUUUUGAUUUUCAAAAGUUACAAAGGCAGAUGACGCUACACAUUAUUGAGAGAGGGCUGCAGAGCAAUGACAGGGGUUGUUUAUCAUACAAGAUCAGUAUCAGUGCAACCAUGGUCAAUCCUGAGGACACGGAUUUGGGGGGAUUGCACUCCUCGCCCCCAGAUGACGCUCAUCAGCCAGAAGAUUUUGAAGAUCAGGAUAUUGGCAACAGUAUGUUCCCUCGUCCUCCUCGUCUGGGUGCCCCUUCUGCUGGUCGGCAGUCAGUCCAUUCCAGGCUGGGACCACAGCCGCCACAAGGAAGAGGAGUGGUCUCGCGUGCCAACAGAGAGCUGAACACGCCUGCCACCACCAAGGAUGCGGCUGAUUCCCUGAAGCUGGGGCAUUUAAAUUCCUUGGACAAUGGGAAGGAUGCGGCUGGAGGAGAUCUCUUGUGUAUUCCCGAAGCAACAGUGCUGAACCCAAGGUCGGCUGAUGAAGAUAUCCUGGCGCCGGAGCAUUUAAGUAUCUUGGACGACGGGGAACAUGUGGCUGAUUUCUUGAAGCUGGGGCAUUUAAUUUCCUUGGACAAUGGGAAGGAUGCGGCUGGAGGAAAUCUCUUGUGUAUUCCCGAGGCAACAGUUCUGGACCCGAGGUCGGCUGAUGAAGAUAUCCUGGCGCCGGCGGCUGGACUUAACUGCCUGGGUAUUCCCGAGGCAUCAAGGCUGGACCCAAGGAGGAAGACGAACAGUACCCUAGGCAUGGCCCCCACUGUCUUCAUGAGUGAGGCACGCGGGUCGCUGAACCCUCCCAGGAAUAUUUCGCCCCAGUCCAUGGUGACUGGGCCGCUGGAAUUAAUUGGGCUGGGAUCGCCCCAUGCGCCAACUCCUGUUCUCCCCCCGACUGGGCCCGUCCCUGGGUCGCUGGAGAUGGUCAGUCCAUCUGUGGUCUCGCCCCACAUAAUUGGGCCGCUGGAGACACACAAUCUCAUAUCAGUCUCGCCCCAGGGACUCGAGUUUGAAGGGGACGCCUCUGUUUUUGAGUCUGGGCCGCCUGAGACGGUUAGUGUGCAUGCGGUCUUGACCCUUACUGGGCAGGUCGAGACCCAGUGCGCAGUACCAGUCUCGCCCCAACUCCAGUUGAAGCAGAGUUCUUGUAAGCCACUGCUCAAGGUAUACUCAAUAAGAAAAUGUGGAACAACUCAGCUGAUGGAAAUGACCACUGAUCUUCAGGACAGUGAGGAACCCAGUCAAGGCAUUUCGGAUGGGAUAAUUAACUCGGCCACUGACAUCUCAGAACAACUGACGAUUCCAUCAUCAUCCCUCAUCAACAUGAUUAGCAGAAAGCCUUCAUACCUCCUCCCUGCACCCGGGACUGGACUGAAGAGGCAAAAGGACCUAACUGUGACUAUGCCUCGACGCAGUAGGCGUGUGGCUGGAAUUGGCGUGGAAUUCUCCAUGCAGGAUUGGCGCAGCAAGGCAUCCAAGAAAGCAAUGAGGGCUUUACGUAUUAUCAAUGAGUCUGAUAAGAUUACUUCUGAUGCCAUCAUGGAGUAUGCUUUACUUUUUCAACGACCGCUUAUCCAGUCUCAUGUUGAUGCCUUAGCUGCUCUGUUUGGGUGGUCUACACCUGAAGAAUUAAGGUCUUAGGUCUGUCCAGUUGGCGUUUUCUGUUAGUUUUCCAAUGGAUCCUUCCAAAAUACUUUUCUGGAAUAUGAGAGGACUUAACUCUUCGAUCAGGCAAGAUGCUGUGAGAAUGCUGGUUGAUUCUGCUAAAAUUGAUGUUGUAUGCUGUCAAGAGACUAAAAUGCAAUCUAUUUCUAGAAGAGAUAUACUAUCCAUGCUUGGUGUCGAAUUCACAGAAUUUGUGUUCCUGCCUUCGAUAGGAAACAGUGGGGGCAUACUAGUGGCUUGGAAGAGGAAUAUUGGUCAUACUGGACUCCAGAGAAUUGAUAAUCAUUGUGUUUCAGUACAGUUCUGUAGACAAGACAGCCAGCCAUGGUGGUUAACAUGUGUCUAUGGGCCUCAGGGGAAUUCUGAAAAAAUUAUUUUUCUACAGGAGCUGAGAGAUACCCGAGCGGCUUGUGUUGGCCCUUGGGUGGUCGCAGGAGAUUUUAAUCUAAUCUACAAGAACAGUGAUAAGAACAACUCCAACCUCAACAGGGACAUGAUGGGCCGGUUCAGAUCGCUGAUCAACGAUCUAGCUCUUAAAGAAAUUCAGCUACAUGGCAGAAAGUUUACCUGGUCCAAUCAACAGGAUAACCCGGUGAUUGUGAAGUUGGAUAGAGUACUCUGCUCGGCUGACUGGGAAUCAUACUUCCCAAAUGUGCUUCUGCUCAGUUCAUCCUCUCAAGAUUCAGAUCAUUGCCCGCUGCUUCUUGGUCUAAAAGACAAUAUUGUUGGCAAGAGAAGGUUCCAUUUUGAGUCCUUUUGGACCAAAAUGGAGGGAUUUCAGGACGUGGUGCUGGAGGCUUGGAAUUCUGUACAGCCGGUCAGCUGUCCCUUCAUCACCCUGGAUAGGAAACUCAAGGUGACAGCCAUGAGGUUACGCAGCUGGAGUGAUAAGCAGGUAGGACAUAUUGUUUCGCAGCUUUGUCUGGCAAAGGAGUUGCUGCAUAAACUCGAAAUCGCUCAAGAUCACAGGGCCCUAUCUCCGGCUGAAUGCUGGCUUAAAAAUAGACUCAAGAAACAGUCCCUGCUGCUGGCCUCCUUCAAGCGUACCAUGGCAAGAUUAAGAUCAAGAAUAUCCAGGAUUAAGGAGGGGGAUGCAAACACCAAGUUUUUUCAUAUGCAUGUCAGAUAUCGGAAAAGGAAAAAUCUGGUGACCUUGCUGAAAGACGGUGAUAAUAUUAUUACUAGCAAUGCUGCCAAAGCAGAUUUAGUGGAUCAGUUUUAUUCCAACCUUAUUGGUCAGGGUCUCCAGGGAGAAUACCAUUGAUUUAGCUGCUCUCGGCCUCCCAGCUCAUAACCUCUCCAUCUUGGACGCCCCUUUCACUGAGCAGGAGGUUCUAGCAACUGUCUUGAACCUACCUGCUGACAAGGCCCCUGGCCCAGAUGGUUUUACUGGGAGGUUUUAUAAGGUUUGUUGGAACAUCAUCAAAGUGGACGUACUCAAUGCAGUUUCAGCAAUUUGGUGUAGGAACUUCAAUAACUUGGAUAAAGUUAAUUCUGCAUAUAUUACUAUGAUCCCAAAGUUUGAUGGGGCUGAUCAGGUGAAGGAUUUCAGACCGAUUAGUCUUGUGCACAGCUUUGCAAAAUUGGUAACCAAGAUCCUGGCCAAUAGGCUUGCUGGUCAUCUGAAUGAGCUUGUCUCCCCAAAUCAGAGUGCCUUCAUCAAAGGCAGAUUUAUACAGGACAAUUUUAUGUUAGUGCAGCAAACUUCAAGAUUUUUACAUCAGCAGAAUAAGGCAUGUCUUCUUUUUAAGCUCGACAUCACAAAAGCCUUUGACUCGGUUUCAUGGCCUUUUCUGAUUGAGGUGCUGCAGGCUUUGGGUUUUGGCCAAAUCUGGAGAAAUAUAAUUUGUGGGUUACUUGGCUCCUCAACUACUCAAGUGCUGCUCAAUGGGUGCCCUGGCAGUAAAAUCCAUCAUAGAAGGGGGCUCAGGCAAGGGGAUCCCCUCUCCCCCAUGUUAUUUAUUUUAGUCAUGGAUGUCCUUUGCCUUCUAUUUGCCAAAGCUGAAGAGACAGGGUUGCUGCAAGUCUGCAACAAUUGUCCAACAGAAAGAAACUUCAUAGAAUUUCUAUUUAUGCUGACGAUGUGGCCCUCUUCCUGCUCCCAACUCAGAAUGACAUUUCCACUACUCUGGACAUUCUCAACAUCUUUGGGAAUGCCUCAGGUCUACACAACAAUGUGCAGAAAUCCAGUAUUUAUCCUAUCAGAUGUUCGGAGCAGACCAUCCUGGAGGUUCAAAGCUUGUUACCUUGUGGGGUGGAGUCCCUACCCUGCAAAUACUUGGGUCUCCCUCUUUCUCUACACAAACUAACCAAACAGCAGCUCAUGCCCUUUAUUGAGAAAAUUGCAGAUCUUCUCCCAAGCUGGAAGGCAGAGUUGUUGAACAAAGCUGGCAGAAGAAUUCUAGUGCAGCAUGUCCUAACUAGUAUGACAAUCUAUACUGCAAUGGCUAUUGAUUUUCCUAAGUGGGCUUUGGAUGCAAUUGAUAAAAUUAGAAGGGGAUUCUUAUGGAGAGGCAGAAAGGAUGCUAAAGGAGGUCACUGUAUGGUAGCCUAGGAAAAGGUUUGUAGGCCUCUUCAUAUGGGAGGCCUCGGGAUUUCUAACCUGACUAAGCUUUGUUGGGCUCUCAGAAUGAGGUGGUUGUGGCUGCAAAAAACUGAUUCUUCGAGGCCAUGGGUGGACCUACCCAUUCAGGUCCCAAGUAUUGUCAGGUCCUUCUUCUCUGCAGUGUUGAUGUCAGAGGUUGGCAAUGGUGCGAAUACUCUUUUUUGGGUGGAUAAAUGGAUUAAUGGGAAAAAGGUAGCUGAUAUAGCACCAAGACUGUUCUGCACCAUAUCAAAAAGAAUUGCCAAUAAAAGAACAGUGCAAGAGGCAAUGGACAAUAGGAGAUGGAUUAGUGAUAUUAGGGGCGCUCUCUCAGCAGGGGCCUUGAUUGAUUUUCUGCAUCUCUGGGAAGCUUUAACGGAUUUUCAGCUGCAUCCUGAUAUUGAAGACAGACACAUUUUUACCAUAGCGCCAGAUGGUAACUACUCAGCAAAAGUUGCUUAUGAAGGGCUCUUCCAGGGAUCGUGCUCCUUUCUUCACCACAAAAGAAUCUGGAAAUCCUGGAUGCCACCCAAGUGCCAUUUCUUCCUGUGGCUGGUGGCACAUGAUAAAUGCUGGACUGCUGAUAGGCUGCAGAAAAGAGGCAUGAACCAUCCGGCUAGGUGCCCUCUUUGUGAUCAAGAACCUGAAAGCAUUGAUCACCUGCUGGUUUCCUGUGUGUUCUCAAGAGUUUUCUGGUAUAGGCUUUUGAGAAAGUUUGGGUUACACAGCUUAUCCUCUCAGCAAGUGGAGCCUUCCUUCCUUGGUUGGUGGGAGAAUUCCUCGGCUCAGGUCCUCAACAUGAGAAAGAAAGGACUGGACUCCCUUGUUGCUUUAGGGGCCUGGAUGAUCUGGAAUCAUAGGAACAAGGUGGUGUUCGAUGGAAGGACCCCCUCUAUCUCCUUCCUUCUUCAAGCUGCUGAGGAUGAACAGGAGACGUGGCGGCUGGCUGGUGCCAAGGGGCUUUCCUUUUUGGCCAGCCAAACUACCUAGCUCCUAGGGCUGUAGUGUUUUUUGUCCAGUUUUAUGGAUAGCUUUGUGUAUGCUUGUUUCUGGCCUCCAUAAGGAGUGCUUGUACCUGGGUCAUUAUGGCCCUUUAUUUUCCCUCUACUUUAAUAUAUGGGUGCGCAGUCCUCCUGCGCUCUUUCGAGAAAAAAAAAGUAAAAGAACGCCAAGGGGAAGAAAGUAGAAAAGAAGAAAUUUAACAAGAAGAAGGUUGAGGCGCACAUUGGAAAGGAGUGGGAAUCAGACUGCUCCUCCUCCGACUCCGACGACGAAGGACUCGCCGCCUCCGCCUUCGACAAGUCUUCUCUCUUCCCUAAUGAACAUCGCACAUGUCUGAUGGAUGAGGAGAAUAAGGUAUUCGCUAGAGACACACCUAAAUGCACUUCUUCUAGUGAUGACAAGUCUAGUAAUGAUGAUGUUGAUUAUAUCAAUUUAUUUAAGGGAUUAGAUAGAACCAAAAUUGCUAAAAUCAAUGAAUUAAUUAAUGCUUUGAAUGAGAAGGAUAGACUUUUAGAAGCAAGAAGAUUUACUUUAUGGUGAGCAUGAUAAGGUUAUUAGUAUGGAAAAAUCUCUUGCUUUAGAAAUUAAGAAAAAUGAAUUGUUGUCUAAAGAGCUAUUUGAUUCUCAUGAUUCAAUUAACUGUCUUAAGUCUGCCAAUGCUGAUCUGAGUGCUAAGAUAGUUGAAUUGAAUAAAUGUCCUGCAUCUACCGUUGAGCAUGUUGAUAUAUGUACUACAUGUAAGGAUUUUGAUGUUGAUGCUUGCAAUGAUCAUAUCUCUACUAUUGCAAAGUUGAAUGAUGAUAUUAUUAAAUUAAGUGUUCAACUUAAAACUUGCAAUAAUGAAUUAGACAAAUUAAAAUUUGCUAGGGGAGGUUACACUAGUGGUAGGCAUCCCUCAAUUAAGGAUGGUCUUGGUUUCCAAAAUAGAGCCAAAGACAAAAAGACCCAUGAGGCCCCCAAAUUCAUCAAGGAGAAGGGGAAAGCGCCUAUGGCUAGUAGUACUCACUCUUCUCAUGUUAGCAAUAAUCAUACCUAUACUUAUGCUAAUGUUAAAAAUGUUCACAAUGCUCAUAAUGCUUGUGUUGAUCAUGUUGUUCAUGUUGUGCAUUAUGAUAUUUAUUCUUCACAUGCCAUGAUUGCUUCUACUAGUUCAUCUUUUGCUCAUGAUAGGAGUAGGCAAAAUGUUUCUUAUGCUAGAUCUAUUCAUGUACCUAAGGCUAGGAAUGCAUCUUAUAGUCCUUCUAUUUCAUAUCACACGUUUGAUGCUUCCUAUGUGUUGUAUUGCAAAUCUAGUAAAGUAGUUGCUGCUAAUGUGGGACCUAAAUGCAAGAUUGGUAAGACUUGCGUUUGGGUGCCAAAGGUUUAUGUGACUAACCUAACAGGACCCAACUCUAGUUGGGUACCUAAACCAUUUUGCAGGUUUAUGCAUCCAGGGGCUCAAGCUGCGUUAUUGAUAGUGGAUGCACAUGCACAAACCAAAUGGCAAGGGAGAAGCAGAUGUUCUCUUUGAAAGGGAAAUGUGCCAUAGGGCCCUUUCUACCUGUUUUGGUGAUAAGUACUCAACACACCAUAUUGGACUAACUACAUUGAUGUGAGUAUGAGCACAUGUUCAAGUAAAGACAAAUUGAAGGAACUAAGUCCAAAUGAGCAAACCAGGAGACUAGAAGUGCAACUUUGGGCAAAACAACAUAAACAUGAUGUUUAAGUGUUUGAAUAAGUUGCACAUACCCUAUAUUAUAUUUCUAGUACUUUGGUUUGGCUACUAACCCAUUUCAGCAAGAAAGGUGCAUUUUGGACUUGGUUUUGGGCAUAUUGCAAAUCCUAGAGAAACUAUGAGAAAGAGGUAAGUUUCCCACACUUAGUCAAUUGGAUUAUGUGCUAAAUAUAUUUGUCUGAGUUGUAGGGAAACCCCCAAAGACCAGUGUUCUUAAGGCGCCUAGGCGAGCAAGUGGACCAGACAGGCGCCUUAGCGCCUAGGCGGCGCCUAGGCGACGCCUAGGCGGGAAUGGCGAGCAAGGCGACCAGUUUUGCCCGAGCGCCUGGACACCUAGGCGUCGCCUAGGCGACGCCUAGGCGACGCCUUAAGAACACUGCCAAAGACAGCCAAAAAGAUUUGGAGGAGUUUGGCUCAAAAGAGCCCAACUUGCACUUGUCUGGGUUGCACCGGACCGGUCCGGUGGUGCACCAGACCAGGUCCAUGCGACCCAGCCGUACAACUCAGUCUCGGGAAUUUUAUUAUAAAAUUCAUUGGACCGGUCCGGUGUGCACUAGACCCUCCAAUGGCUACCUUCAGCGGGCGCGCGAGCGAGCAACGGCUAGAUGAUGUGGCGCCCGGUCCGGUGGUGCACCGGACUGUCACACCCGGUUUCAGAAGGCAAACCGAAUGCGAACUAUGUACGUACCAGGAUCAGAACUCACGUACACAGCGAUUACAUAAAUGAACAUCAUCGCACAAUGCUCGAAUAAUAACAUAAAAGAGUAUUAUCUUGUUACAUCACAGAGUCAUAGACAUCCACAUAGUCAUCAACUUAACUGAUAAAUCAAAGUGCUAAGCGAAACGCAGUAAAGAUAAGGCCUUCACAGGCAGCUGACUGGGGGUUGCCGCCAACCCACACCUAAAACUCGUCGUAGUCUUGGAACUCCUGGAAGUCCCCUUCCACGACUUCGUCUUCUCCCGAGCAGUGGUUGCAAUGUGGACAACCUGGUGUUUUGUGGUAAAGCAAGGGUGAGUACACAUCAACGUACUCAGCAAAUGCCCCGUUUGGCUGAAGUGGACUAGCUUUUAUGUGGGGUUAGGCUCAAGCAGUUGCUUUUAGUUGGUCAGGUAUUUAUUGUUAGUAGGAGCCAUAUUUUAUCAUAAAACCCAAGAUAUACUCCCAAAAGUACCUCCUCAGAGAGGAAAUAUUAGAAUUCAUAAUUAAAGUCACCAUCAUUAACCAUCAUCAUUAAAGUCAUCAUCCAAGGUGUAUCCGGAGUAUCUCUAAUCAAAGAGGAUCCCAAGGCUGCUCUUAACCGUGAGCACGGCUGAUAUAUCAGUUUCACUACCCUCUGCAGAGGUCGCACACUUUACCCAUGAGUCAUGAUUCCCGUUUUGCCCGGGGAGAGCUAAUCCCCAUUGAUCACUUCCUAGGUGGUCCGGCCGAGUAUCACUACGUAGCUGUUACAAAGAUUCCCUAGAGAUCAUAGUCGCCCGUUAGGUUUCUCCAGUUUGAUAAACACAGUACCCCUCCUCGCAGGAGAGUGACUAACAAAAAGCAAAACGAAAGAACCUCGGCACUCGGCCUCGGCAGAGCAAGCACUGUGCCUGGACCCCAUUGACGGCACGACGGCGAAGCAACUACACCUCUAGUUCCUCUAAUUAAUUAGCUAAGGGCUUAAGUUUAUAGGGCACGAGGUGUCUAAUAACACAUGAAAAAGCAGUAACUGCUUGUACCGACCUCUUUGGUGUGUUACCUGAGCCAUCCACCAACCCGAGCUCCUGCCACUAUUUGUUUGUGCCACUGACAAUCGCGCAGACACCCCACGUCUAUCUCCCUUUUACAAUUUCUCGGCACCGACGCUGCCACGCGAAACUCCGGCGACCUAGCGCCGGUCCGGCCAUCGUGGUGCAGUACAGACAUCCCCGCAGUAACUGCUUGUACCGACCUCUUUGGUGCUUUAGAGCCUACUUUUACCCUGUAUAAGAACUCACAAAAUGUAGAAAACUUAAUUCUGUUCUGAAAUUGGUCAUCCACAAUUUGUUCAUGCUUUGCCAAAAGAUUAUAUAGCACACAUCAAUAAGAAAUGAAAUCCUGCCACAUUCCAGGCACCGAACCAAAUACUCCUCACAUCUUUUUUUAUAAGGCGUAUUAGCAUUUCAGAAAAUAUUUGAAGGCAUAUUUGGCCAUUAGUUCCUUUUAUAAUAUAUUAUCAAUUAUGUGUGGAAGUACAAAUCUAGUGAUGCAUAUUUUUUUGCACUAACCAUACAUAUAUUUUGAAUGAUGGUCAAGUCAAACUUUACUAUGUUUGUUUUUUUUAAUUUCAAUACACCUAACAUUUUUGAAAUAGAGUGCAUGCUAAAUAUAAUGAAUGCGACCAAACUUUCAUAACUCGGUUUCAAACCAAGCAUGCACAAUUAAUUCAAGUGCACAGCCACUUAAAUGAAUAUAUGACAGGAAAAAAACAGUAUAUUACCUUCAGUUUUCUUGCAAGAUCUUCAUGACUUUGAACAGUUGCAGAUCUGUUGGCAACAUCCUUAGCAAUGCUAAGCCUUUGAGUGACCUCAGUCUGUACGGCAUAAGAACUACUAUGAACACAUGGCAUAGCAACUUCACCAACGAAAAAUCAUAAUUCAUAGUUUCCAUGAACUAUCAGAAACUACUGACCAUAAAUAUAGAUAUAGCCAAGAUGUAUUUAAGUCAGUACUAACAAACCAGAAAUACAUUCUCAAACAAAAAUUAUGAAAUAAUAGUUAGACAGAGAACUGCAACGACCAAAUAACCUUAGAUAUAGUGUGGGUCCACUCUGAAGUAACAUUACAAAAGAAGUCAGCAAGACAAGCUGCAUAUAUAACAGUGUAAUCCUGGUUCCAAACAGCUAGCAACAAAGAAGUGAUGACUGAACUGGCAACUACUGGAUAAUCUUGUUUCAACAAAGCUGGUAUUCAUAAAAUUGGAGUUGAAAGAAAGAGCUAACGAUAAAAGCAAACAUUGAAGUAAAGUAAUUCCAGUCAAUGUAAGAAUAAAAAAUAAUAACAAUUGAGUAGCAGAACCUACCAUGCAUCUAUCACAAACUCGGACAAGUGGAGCAUUAUCCUCAGCCGUCAGAGCAAUCCUUCCCUGGCUGCAUUUGUCACAAAAGAUUUCACCACAGUUCCGACAAUGAUGCUGCAAGGAAGGAACCCAUCUUAAAGAAUUAAAAUUUUAACUCAAGGCAUUAAGAAGGGCAGACCUGGUGCUGUGGUAAAAGUUGUUUCACUGAGUCACCAGGUCGCGGGUUCAAAGCAGUUUCUCUGCAUUUGCAGGAGAAAGACUUGACUUGAUUUAUCCCUUUCCUAGACCCUACUCAUGUAGGAGCCUUCGGCACUGGGUAUGCCCUUUAGAUAAUGAAUACAAAGACAAAUGUGCUAUGUAGAUUACCCUGCGAUUGAAAGGGCUAAAAUCAACAGCGCAGGAGUGGCAUUUCUUGGCAACCUCAUCUGGGACCUAUAAGGGUACAAAAUUAAAUGAAAUGCAGAAACUUAAAAAAAAUUACAAGUGAAGAAAAUAAUCAUAAGAGACAAGUGAAGAAAAAUAAUCAUAAGAUUAUGAAUGGUGAUACGAUAUAACAAAUGUUGUCAAGAACUUCGAAUAAGAUCAAUAACACAGACAUAUUAACAUAUAAAUGAUAGAACUGAAGCACAAAUGAAAAAUAUUCAAUGAAAGGCUAGAAAAUGCAGAUAGCCAACUAUAUCCAUCCAGCCGUAGUAGAUGUUCUUAUAAAAAAUAACAUGCAAGGAAUAUAGGUGAUGAAAUAGCUUAUGUUAAGGCCCAUAAGGCCCAUAUUGCCUAUAUAUAUGCUACAGUACCCGUGGGGGUGAUUAUCUCGCCUAAUUCAAGGUUAGUCACAUGGUAUCAGAGCAGGUUAGGGUUAGGGUUUACAUCUAAACCCAACCCUGAUCCAAUUUUUUUCGGCGCCGUCGCGCCGUCGCUGUGCUGCCCUCGCAGCCAGCUUCUUCCCCUUCUCUGGUUGCUGUCGCGGCCCUCCCUCUCCCGCCCGUCGUCGCGGCCGCGGGCCUCCUUUUCCCGGUCGCCGUCGCGGCCUGCUGUCCGCCGUCUGCCAUCCGCCGCCCGCCGUCUGCCGUCCGCCGGAUCCAGCCUGCGCAUCCACCGUCCGCCGGAUCCGCCGUCUCGGUCUGCGCCCCAUCUGCUGCUUCAUCGUCGAUCGAGCUCCCCCUCUUCCUGUGCCCGCCAGGACCGGAUCUUGGUCGCCCCGCGCGGAUUUGUCACGUCCGCCGCCCUCUUCCUGUGCCCGCCAGGAGUCCGUUGCUGCUGUCGCUGUGCCUGCCAGGAGCCCGCCAUCUUCUUCCUGGUGGUCCGCCGGCUCGGCGGCUGGCCAGCUGCCUGCCGAGUCGAACUGCAGUCUGCAGGGCGCCUUCACCGGAUCUGCGCUGUCAGCAAUUCUGCGCUGUCUGUCUGAUCCGCCUGAUCCGGAUCUGCGCCCUCGCCACUUCUGUGCCGAGCAGGACUGCAACUCUACACUGUUGUUGCUGUCGCUGCUUCUGCGCAGGUGGCUUCCAGUCAACUCCUCCACGUUAUGACCACCUUCGAGUUUUUGGAUGUACGUGUUAUGUACUAUUAUCACCUCGUGAACGUACUAAGUUGACUGCUCAAUCUGUUGAGUGUGUUUUUCUUGGAUACAGCCCUGAACAUAAAGGCUAUCGGUGUUAUGAUUCAUCUUCUCGUCGCAUGCGUAUUUCUCGAGAUGUGAGCUUUAAUGAAAACCGACCCUUCUUUUACAACUCUUCCACUCAUUCUUCUUUUUAUUCCACAGAGUCUACCGCCUUCAUGAGCCUUCCUCCCAUUUCUGAAACUUCAUCAGUAUCACCACCUACUGUUUCUACUCCAGAUGUCCUUAUUCCCAUCACACCACCUUCCACUUCCACAACAUCUCCGUCUUACUCUUCCAAACCACCUGUCACUCAGACUUACAUUCGUCGUCCUCGCUCUACUCCCACGGCCAGUCCUGAUGAUGAUCCUGUUGCUGAUACUUGUACUAACAAUGAUGACUCUCAUGUUGUUUUUAAUCAGGGGUAUCAUCUUCGUGACCGUGGCACUAUUGCAGCUCCAGAACGUUAUGGGUUUUCCCGUGCUGGUGCAGUCAUUGCUGAACCAUCAUCUUAUAAAGAGGCGUCUGGUAUACCUGAGUGGCAGCUUGCUAUGACUGAUGAAUUAAAUGCCCUUCAUCGCACAUGUACAUGGGAUGUUGUUCCGUUACCUGCUGGUGUUGUACCUAUCACGUGCAAAUGGGUAUUCAAGGUUAAAACCAAAUCUGAUGGGUCUAUUGAGCGAUAUAAAGCUCGUCUUGUGGCCAGAGGUUUUCAACAGACACAGGGUAUUGACUAUGAUGAGACUUUUGCACCUGUGGCCCAUCUGACUACUGUCCGAGCUUUACUUGCUGUUGCAGCCUCAUCUUCUUGGACUAUCUCUCAGAUGGAUGUCAAAAAUGCUUUUCUUCAUGGUGAUUUACAUGAGGAAGUCUAUAUGCAUCCACCUCCUGGGAUAGAGGUUCCAUCAGGGCAUGUAUGUCGUCUCCGUCGAGCCUUGUAUGGUCUCAAACAAGCUCCUCGUGCUUGGUUUGAGAGAUUUGUUUCUGUCAUCAAGGCUUGUGGUUUCUAUUCUAGUGAUCAUGAUCCUGCAUUGUUCAUUCAUGUUUCUUCACGAGGACGCACGUUGUUAUUACUAUAUGUUGAUGACAUGUUGAUUACAGGCGAUGAUCCAGACCAUAUUGCUCAUGUGAAGGCGUCUCUGAGUAAGGAAUUUCAAAUGUCUGACUUGGGGGCACUCAGUUAUUUCUUGGGCAUUGAGGUUUUGCAGACUCAAAAUGGUAUUUAUCUUUCUCAGGCCAAGUACAUACAAGAUCUUCUUGAUCGUUCUGGUCUUAGUGAUACUCGCACUGUUGCCACGCCUAUGGAUCUACACUUAUCUCUUCGUCCGACUGAUGGGACACCUUUGGAGGAUCCAUCUCGAUACAGACAUCUUGUUGGCAGCUUAGUUUAUCUUACUGUCACCAGGCCAGAUAUUGCUCAUGCGGUUCAGAUCUUGAGUCAGUUUGUCUCUGCUCCUACAUCAGUUCAUUAUGGGCACUUACUUCGUGUGCUUAGAUAUUUACGGGGGACUAAAACACAAUGUUUAUUUUAUGACUCAAAUUCCCCACUUCAGCUUCACGCUUACUCUGAUGCUACCUGGGCCAGUGAUCCUACAGAUCGUCGCUCCAUCACUGGUUACUGUAUUCUUCUUGGAUCAUCCCCUAUUGCUUGGAAAUCCAAGAAGCAAGCUGCUGUAUCUAGAUCUAGUACUGAAGCAGAACUUCGAGCCCUGGCUACUACUACUGCUGAGAUUAUCUGGAUUCGUUGGCUCUUGGCUGAUCUAGGCGUUUCUUGUGACUCGCCUACACUUCUUCGCUGUGACAACACUGGAGCUAUACAAAUUUGUCAUGAUCCAGUGAAGCGUGAACUCACAAAACACAUUGGUGUUGAUGUCUCAUUCACUAGAUCUCAUUGUCAUCAGAAGACCAUUGAUCUUCAAUAUGUGCCCUCAGAAUUACAGCUUGCGGAUUUCUUCACAAAAGCACAAACUAGGGCACAACAUCAGUUUCAUCUAAUCAAACUCAAUGCUUCAAAUCCUCCACUUCCGCCUUGAGUUUGACAGGGGGUGUUAAGGCCCAUAAGGCCCAUAUUGCCUAUAUAUAUGCUACAGUACCCGUGGGGGUGAUUAUCUCGCCUAAUUCAAGGUUAGUCACAGCUUAAACCAAAAUGGUUUCAAGAACAUUAAAAAGUAGCCAAUGCAUAUUACGUUAAACCAAAAUAUAAUUAGUCAAAGCAUAUUAAGUUAAAAGUUGUCAAUGCAUAAUACAGCUCAGCAUACUCAAUGGUCUUUUUUUUAAUGAAGUGGCAGGAGCUCUCCCUUGGAUCCCCGCAGUAAGGGGAUAACCACUAGAUCUCGUGUUGCACAUUUUCGUGAGCAUUACUCUUUGAUCGUGAAUCUGCUCAAGUAUGGAACAUUCUUAAUUUGCCGACAGUGACUUAAAUGGCUCGCUAAAAACAAAGCUGGAUUUGAAUCUAGCUUUAUGGGCUCAAGCAUGUUCACAAAGGUGUAUGCUGGGCUCGUCUACCCCCAACAUUUGUUUAUAUAUUCCUAUCUAUAAUGAAAUCACAAACAUACCAAAUGAAACAACUAGUUCCAUACCUUUGCCUUGAGCAUUCCUAAUCUUUCUUUUAGGUGAAGAUUAACCUUUAAUGCUUGUGAUUUUACCAAAUGAAAGAGAACAAUCUCUACUUAUGAAUUUCCAUGAAAUAGCUUAAAAAUGAUUGCAUUUGAAACACAAGCAAUAGUUUACUAUUUAGCAACCUCUAGUAUAUAAAUGAUAAAAAGGUUACUAAAAUAAGGAAACCUCAUGAUAUGAACUAAAUUACCCUUACAAGCAUCAUGCAUAACAUUAAAAAAGGUGAAAGUAGCAUGAUUAUUUACUUAAGUUUAUAGGGCAAGUUUAAUUCAUAACAUGGUGAGUGAUUAAUGUAGAAGACUUGCAAAUUCAUAGUUUCAUAUAGACUUGCUGGUGAUCUCUGUUUUCCAUUUUCGUAAUUCAUACUGCUGCCGUGCUGGUCAAUUUUCAUAAUUCAUAAUUCUAGUCUCUAUAUUCUAAGUAUAUUCUAUACCUACACUAUAUAAGUAUAUUCUAUAUCUAUAUAAGAAUAUACUUAGAAUUCCAGGCCAAACGAUCAGCCGAUCAGGCAAUAUGAAAUCACUGCCUUCUAGUGUGCACAUUUUAGUAAGAUAAGCAUGCAGCUCCAAGAAUGGCACAAAUAUGACAAAUCCAGCACACGGAAACUGAGAUACAUGUCUAAAGACAGCAAAUAUUCUGGUUGAGGUGUUAAAGAAACAAGUUAAUAUUAAAAGUAAACAUUGAGAGACUGCGACAAAUAAGAUAAGUAAGAGCAGCAGAUGAUCCAGAUUAUCAUAUGCAUAUGCUGCCUGGAACACAAAAGGGUGCACUUAUAAGCUCAUGUAAAGGGACGGGGGAAGUGAGGUAGAAUGAAGUAGGUAAACUAAUGAAGUGCAUACAUCAACUAGCCAUACCUGUAACCAAAAUUCUUGAGUGCAAGACCUACCUACCUUUGCCAGGAUUUCCCAAAAUGCCGCAGAUGCUCGAAGAUUGUGCCCCAUGGUAGGAAAAUGGUCCUUCCCAUAACCAGAAAAAGGUUCAUGCCAACAGAUUCCCCAUUUAAAGAAAAAACUAUUCCACCUUCCCAAGCCUAAUAAAAAAAUAAAGGCAAUAGGAAUCAGAGCUUACAUUUGAACAAAAUGUAGGUGUUAUGGAACAAAAUAAAAUUUAUUUUAUUGCCUGCGUGCAUACAGAAAAGCAGAAUAAAAUGGUCAUAUCAACAUGCAAGUGUACCUCUGAGGUUUUACUCUCAAGAUCUUGACCAUGCUUAGAUACGCUUAGAUCACAGCCCAAUUCGACACUCCUGGAUAUUAGGUCACCAGAGACACCACGCCCAACUACAUAUGCCGCACCACGGAGCACAGAUUCCAGCACACAUUGGGAACUUCCAACAUGAACACCAAGGAAGGCAUCAAUGUUGACAACAACGAAGUUAUGAUCUAAAUCAUAUUCAGCCAAAAAACCCUUGUACACUUCAUUGCCUUCACAGCGCACUUUAAUCUACAAAACAAUAAUAAGGCAAGAAAUAAUCACAUAAUAAACAGGAGCAAACAAAAUAGUAAUUAACAAAUGUCAGCACCAACCUUUAAUUCAUAGUAUUGUUCGUUUGUUUUACCAUGAAAAGCCCUAACCAAACUUGCAGAAGUCAGACACAUUGUAAGGUGGUAUCCCUUGUGUGCUAUAGCUAUGCCCGAGCAAGAAAAUAAGGUUAUGUCUCCUACAGAAGAUUGCAGCUCGAAUCAUUUAACUGGUAAUGUUUCAAUAUAUACUUGUUGGAAAACUAAGAAUAUAGCAGCAUAUAUGAUCACCAUUGCACAAAGAAAUUGAGACAACACUUUUACAAAUAUCUGAUUUAACCCAGCCAGGUAGCUUAGCGAAUACAUCUUGAUUAGAGUCCCCAUCACGCAAGUGACCUAGUUGACGAAAUGAAACAUUAAAACAACUGUGAAAGCUCAAAUAAAUCUGUGAAAAAUGUAGAGGAGGAAAGGAAGGCUAGCAUAAAAGAGGAAGAACUAGCAGACCUGAGACCAAAUCAAUCUUGCAACUUCUUUUUUCCUUAUGAAAUCUUCUAGUCAAAUCAACACCGCCCUUCUUGCCUUUCUGCAUCUUUUUCAAUCUUAAAGAGGAAUUUUCCAGUUCGCUCAUUAAUCAACUCCGCCUAUGUUGUCUCAGCAUAUGUUCGUGCAGCAUAGCCUGGUCCCAAGUCCAGGUACAAGGAGGAGGGUUGCGUUAGGCGUGGCGAGCCAACUAUAAAAAACUUAGCCACUCAAAUGGAAAUGAAACCCAAUAGAAAACCGUUGGGGCGUAACCCUCUUAGCGACGCGCCAUAUCGGAACGCGGGUAUGGUGUUAAAUGGGCAAGGGCCGGGCCGCCACCCCCUUGGUGGCGCGCCGUGUCGUGAUCUGGAUGCGGUGUCAAGUGAGCAAGGAUCGGGUCGUCGCUUCCUUAGUGGCGCGCUACAUCGGCGCCCGGGUGUAGUGACAAAUGUGCAAGGGUCUUCGCAUCUGUCUCAACGGGUGCGAGGGGUAAGGAAGCUAGUUGAGCCGACUAGGAUCCGUGUAGGUAGUUGGAACGUAGGGUCCCUUACGGGUAAGCUAAGAGAGUUAGUCGAUGCAGCGAGCAGGAGGCGUGUUAAUAUCCUAUGUGUCCAGGAGACAAAAUGGAAGGGGCAAAAAGCGAAGGAGGUGGAGAACACUGGUUUCAAGCUUUGGUACUCAGGAACAGUGGCAAAUAAAAAUGGAGUAGGUAUCCUGAUUGAUAAGAGCCUCAAGGAUGGAGUGGUGGAUGUCAAAAGGCAGGGAGAUAGGAUUAUCCUAGUCAAACUAGUUUUGAGGGAUGUAGUCUUGAACAUUAUAAGUGCAUAUGCCCCUCAGGUUGGUCUCGGUGAGAGCGAGAAGAGGAAGUUCUGGGAAGACUUAGAUGACAUGGUCAGAGCAGUAACCACCAAUGAGAAGCUUUUCAUAGGAGGAGAUCUCAAUGGUCAUGUAGGUUCAACAAAUGCAGGUUAUGAGCUGGCUCAUGGAGGUUUCGGGUAUGGUAGUAGAAAUCAAGGAGAGGAUAUUUUGGACUUUGUUGUAGCCUACAACCUCGUGAUAGCCAACACUUUCUUCAGAAAGAAAGAUUCUCAUUUGGUGACUUUUAGCAGUGGCCAUCGUUCGAGCCAGAUCGACUUCGUUCUCACAAGGAGAGAAGAUAAACAAGCAUGUUUGGAUUGUAAGGUGAUACCUGGAGAGUGUUGUGCCCCAACAUAAUCUUGUGGUGGCUGACUUUCGUUUUCGGAUCCGUACCCAUAGGGAUAAACAAGCCAAAAUUACGAGGACGAAGUGGUGGAAACUCAAAGGGGAGACAUCCGAAGUUUUUUAAGGAAAGAGUUUUUGUGGAGGGCGCUUGGUCCGAAGAAGAAGAUGCAAACAACAUGUGGGUGAAGAUGGCAACUUGUAUUAGGAAGGUGGCGUCAGAGGUGUUUGGAGUGACCAAAGGGAGUAGAGGUGAACCUAAAGAUACUUGGUGGUGGACCGAGGAUGUUCAAAAGGCAAUAAAGGAGAAGAAAUAAUGUUACAGGAGCUUGUUCCAUGACAGGAGCGCGAUCAACAUAGAGAGGUAUAAGGUGGCAAAGAAGACUGCAAAGCGAGCUGUGAGUGAGGCAAAGGGUCGAGCCUAUGAUGAUCUUUACCGAAGACUAAGUACAAAAGAAGGGGAGAAGGAUGUCUAUAAGAUGGCUAGGAUUCGGGAAAGGAAGAAAAGGGACCUCAACCAAGUUAAAUGCAUUAAGGAUGAGAUGGAUCAACUCUUGGUGAAAGGUCAAGACAUCAAACAGAGGUGGCAGAGGUAUUUUGACAAUCUUUUCAAUGGUGAGAAUGAGACUAUGGACACCCAAUUGGAUGACUCCUUUGAUGAUUUAAAUAGAUGCUUUGUACGCAGGAUCCAAGAGUCAGAUGUCAAAGAAGCUUUAAAGAGGAUGAAAGGGGGCAAGGCGAUGGGCCCGGAUGGUAUCCCAAUAGAGGUGUGGAAAUGCCUUGGGGAUAUUGCUAUCGUUUGGCUAACCAAGUUGUUCAACCAUAUUUUUCAAUCAAACAAGAUGUCCGAUGAGUGGAGGAGUACAUUAGUACCAAUCUUCAAGAACAAGGGAGAUAUUCAAAGUUGUACCAACUAUCGAGGGAUUAAGCUCAUGAGCCACACUAUGAAGCUAUGGGAGAGAGUUAUUGAGCAUCGCCUGAGAGGAAUGACGCAUAUCACCAUGAACCAAUUUGGAUUCAUGCCUGGAAGGUCAACCAUGGAAGCAAUUUUCUUAAUAAGACAGGUCACGGAGCGGUAUAAGGAGCAGAAGAAGGACUUGCACAUGGUUUUUAUCGACUUGGAAAAGUCCUAUGAUAAAAUACCUAGGAAUCUCAUGUGGUAGGCAUUGGAUAAGCAUAAAGUCCCAACAAAGUAUGUUACGCUCAUCAAGGACAUGUAUGACAAGGUUGUGACUAGUGUCCGAACAACUGAUGGUGAUACAAAUGUUUUUCCGAUUAACAUAGGACUACAUCAAGGUUCAGCUUUGAGCCCUUAUAUAUUUGCCUUAGUGAUAGAUGACGUCACGAGGGAUAUACAAGGAGAUAUCCCUUGGUGUAUGCUUUUCGCUGACGAUGUAGUUCUAGUAGAUGAAAGCCGGGAAUGAGUAAAUAGAAAGCUAGAGUUAUGGCGUCAGACCCUAGAGUCAAAAGGAUUUAGAAUUAGCAGGACCAAAACCGAGUAUAUGAGAUGUGACUUUGGUACUACAAUUAGUGAGGAUAGAGAUGUAAGCUUGGGAGGCCAAGUAAUACCAAAGAAGGACACCUUCCGUUAUUUGGGAUCGAUACUACAGAGAGAUGGUGAUAUUGAUGAAGAUGUUAGCCAUAGGAUCAAAGCAGGGUGGAUGAAAUGGCGUCAAGCAUCGGGAGUCCUAUGUGACAAGAGAGUGCCACAGAAGUUGAAAGGCAAGUUCUACAGGACGGCGAUUAGGCCUGCUAUGUUAUAUGGGGCCGAGUGUUGGCCUACUAAGAGAUGGCAUAUCCAACAACUAAGUGUCGCAAAGAUGUGUAUGUUGCGUUGGAUAUGUGGGCACACAAGAUUGGACCGAGUGAGAAACGAUGACAUACGCGAUCGGCUAGGAGUAGCGCCAAUUGAAGAAAAGAUUAUGCAACACCGGUUGAGAUGGUUUGGGCAUGUCCACCGGAGACCCCCAGAGGCACCGGUGCACAGAGGUAUCAUAAGACGGGUCAAUAAUGUGAAGAGAGGUAGAGGGCGGCCAAACUUGACAUGGGAGGAGGCAAUCAAAAGGGACUUGAAGGAAUGGAAUAUCCCAAAGGAAUUGUGUUUGGAUAGAAGUGCUUGGAAAGAAGCUAUCCACGUGCCCGAAUCGUGAUUAGGCCUUUUCCCUUUUAGUGCUCUCAAAAGCUUUUCCCCUCCCCGUUCUCUCUCUUUCUCUUUUUGGUGACUUCUUGUUGGGUUUCAACUCUAGCCUACCCUAACUUGCUUGGGACUAAAAGGCUAUGUUGAUGAUGUUGAUGAUGACUAUACGGAAUCGUUUUGAUGCUAUUGCCACCUUCAUUUGAUUACCAUUGUGGCAAUCUCGUAGAACGAAUCCUAUUGCAAAACUGCUAUCCUCAGUAAAUACAGGCGAUCCUGCUAAACUAGUCUCUCCAUUGCGAUUCACCAGAAAAUAUGGACAUGACACCAAGAAAUAAUCUCUUGAAUUGACAAUUGGACCAUAUGACUGAAAACCAUAUGAUUCAAGAGUUUCUAAUGUGAUAAAAGUUGGUUGGUAGUAGUAUGUGUGACGAUAGUUCAUAUGAGGCAUCAUAAAUGUCUGACUUGGUUUCAAAUAGUCAAUAAUAAGUUAAUCUUCGAUUAAUUUAAUUUCCUCACAUUUUGAAUGGUCAUUGGUUCUAAGAUGGAAAGUGUCCUCUUUAGUUGCCACGGAUACCACUAACUGGACUUCAUAAAAAACUGGACAUUAAGGUCAUUCUUGUUUCGAUCUUUCACAAAAGAUGAUGGAGCAACAACAAGUGUGUUUUGUUCUAAGGUUAUUGGGUUAGUCCAAGACUUGACUAGGACACAACCAAAACAAAACUCACUAGGCCUUCUGUCCAUCACAGUUACAACACAUUUCAUAGCUCUUACUGCAGUCAUUGGUGUGGUUCUCAUGGUUGAAGUCCUCCCUAAGGGUUUGUUCGGUUAUUUGUGAUCCAUAUGGAUUGGAGGGGAUUGAUAUGGAUUGAGAGGGAUUUUGACUUACUGGGGAUUGAAACCGACUCCAUAUGGAUUGGGGUUGAACCAAACAAGCCCUAAGUGAAUUAGAUUGGAUCAGUCAGGACUAGGCUUUACUUUCGUUAAGAUGAACGGGGACUGGGGAGAAGAGGUGGAGCCGUACCUGCAGCUGCAAGACACCGCCGCACCGGAGAUGGAGAUUGGGGGGGUUGAAUCCAGCAAACACUGAAAGAAGUGAACCACUCUUAUCAGCAUUCACCAUUCAGCAGUCUAAAUCUAAAGUUCUAAAGUCUAAACCGAGCAGUGACCGUCUUGGUGGACCAGCACUAAGCGCGUGCAGGAUUCCAAAAUGCGGCACUAAGCGCACGCUUGACGCUUCAGCGCACUGAAGCGCUAAGCGGACGACGGGUCACUCUUCGCUUUGGGGCAUAAUAAGCGCUCCCAAAGCGGCGCGACCGUCUUGGUGGAGCAGCGGCUGCUGGCUCCCGCUGCCCGCAGGCCGCGCGCGGCGCAGCAACCGGGCUCCGUCGAUGAUCCAACGGAGGCGGGAGGAGAAAGAGAGGCACGCACGCAGGGUCACCGGCCAGUGUGCGGAGGACCGGAGGCAAGGGCGCGAGGCGGGAGGUGAAGCAGCUGAUGCCGUCGCUGAGAGCCCGAGCCUGAGCGCCGCCGCCGUCGCCUGCGUGCUGAGCGCGAGUAGGGAGGGAGCGGAAGAUGGAGAAGAUGGAAGAUGAAGAUGAAGAAACGGCGGCGGCUGCGUGCCUGUGAAAAGGUUAGGCUGGCUCCAACAAGACCCUCUAAAGGGUCCUGUACCCUAAAUUUAGAGGACGAGGACAUCCUCUACUCCCUCCAGCAACGUCCUCUAAACGGUCCUCUAAAUUUAGAGAACGCUGCUGGAUCCUCUAUAUGUAGAGUUUCUCUAAACGGUUCUCUAUCUAUUUGAAUACUUUAAACAACCGGUUUAAUAAAACUAAAAUAUGUACUAACAUAGGUCUCGGAGUAGGUCCUCCCACCAUAGGUCUCCCCGUCGACGCCAUCCUUGGCGACAUUCAUAAGGGGGUAACCACUAGAUCUCGUGUUGCACAUUUUUGUGAGCAUUACUCUUUUGUUUCCUCUAUUGAGCCACACAAGGUAGAGGAAGCACUACAAGAUUCGGAUUGGGUGGUGGCGAUGCAAGAGGAGCUCAACAACUUCACUAAGAACGAGGUAUGGCAUUUAGUUCCACAUCCUAAUCAAAAUGUUGUAGGAACCAAAUGGGUCUUCCGCAACAAGCAAGAUGAGCAUGGUGUGGUGACAAGGAACAAAGCCCGACUUGUGGCCAAGGGAUACUCCCAAGUCGAAGGUUUGGAUUUUGGUGAAACCUAUGCACCCGUAGCUAGGCUUGAGUCAAUUCGAAUAUUAUUAGCCUAUGCUACUUACCAUGGCUUCAAGCUUUACCAAAUGGACGUGAAGAGUGCCUUCCUAAAUGGACCUAUCAAGGAAGAAUUCUAUGUUGAGCAACCUCCCGGCUUUGAAGAUAGUGAGUACCCUAACCAUGUUUAUAAACUCUCUGAGGCGCCUUAUGGGCUCAAGCAAGCCCCAAGAGCAUGGUAUGAAUGUCUUAGAGAUUUUCUUAUCGCUAAUGGCUUCAAAGUCGGAAAGGCCGAUCCUACUUUAUUUACUAAAACUCUUGACAAUGAUUUGUUUGUAUGCCAAAUUUAUGUUGACGAUAUUAUAUUUGGGUCUACUAACGAAUCUACAUGUGAAGAAUUUAGUAGGAUCAUGACACAAAAAUUCGAGAUGUCGAUGAUGGGGGAGUUAAAGUACUUCUUAGGAUUUCAAGUAAAGCAACUCCACGAGGGCACCUUCAUUAGCCAAACGAAGUAUACUCAAGACAUUCUAAACAAGUUUGGAAUGAAGGAUGCCAAGCCCAUCAAGACACCCAUGGGAACCAAUGGGCAUCUCGACCUCGACACGGAAGGUAAGUCCGUGGAUCAAAAGGUAUACCGGUCGAUGAUAGGUUCACUACUCUAAAUUUGAUUCAGCUGAGGGAUCCUUUGUAUCAUCCACGGAGAAGGCAGCUUCGGCCUGGGCCAGGGUCUUGACAUGGUCGCAUCCCGCCUUCUCCAGGAUGGCUGAAAUUCCCCUUGCACCAGAGAACGCGCAGACAUCCCCGCGGUCACUUAAUAUUUCUUCGAAAGCUUCGGCCUCUCCACUUAUCCAUUCGAUAACACCUUCAGGGUCGUCUUGUAUAAAAUUAUCUUCGUUAGAAUAGGUGCCCACGUUGGCGAAGCUAGCCUUUAUUUUCUCCACACAGCCCAAGGAUUUUUCAAAGCAUCUUUCCUUGGAUGAGCGAAGUUCUUCAACUGUUUUCUCUAAAUGGUUUUUCCAAUAUUAACUGAUCUCCCAGUUAGCUUCUGCGAGAGCACAUUUUUCUUUGGCUUCUGCCAACUGCUUCCAAAGGUCUUCGAUUUCAUUCUUAUGAAUUUCGGCUUGAGCAUUGAAACUAGCUUCAUCUUAUUUCACUUUGUUUACCAAUGAAAUCAAGAUUUUGUCUUUUUCAAGACCUUCAUUUCUUAAUUCAAUUACCUCUAAACGAAGGUUGUUCAGAGCCAUCGUAUAUCCUUCAUCUUCAAUGUUUUUGUGAGCCCUAAGCGGAUUGCUAGCCAUGAGUUGUAAAUUUCAGACGGGGCCGAGGACGGGCGCACAGCCGCGCAGAUUUUACUGCUUGUUCCACGGCGAAGACUGCGCGCACCCAACAAGGGACUGCCCGGAAAUGAAGGCCACCAGAGACAAGAUGUCUCGGGCGCAACCAGCCGACAACCCAAAAGUUGUCGGGCACACAUAUCAACAAAGGCUAGUUGAUUCUCCCUAUAUAUCUAUUUACUUUGAUCAGUAUAGACAUCCCCGCAGUAACAGCUCAGCAUACUCAAUGGUCUUUUUUUAAUGAAGUGGCAGGCGCAUUGCAGGAGCCUGGAGAAGGCGGGAUGCGACCAUGUCAAGACCCUGGCCCAGGCCAAAGCUGCCUUCUCCGUGGAUGAUACAAAGGAUCCCUCAGCUGAAUCAAAUUUAGAGUAGUGAACCUAUCAUCGACCGGUAUACCUUUUGAUCCACGGACUUACCUUCCGUGUCGAGGUCGAGAUGCCCAUUGGUUCCCAUGGGUGUCUUGAUGGGCUUGGCAUCCUUCAUUCCAAACUUGUUUAGAAUGUCUUGAGUAUACUUCGUUUGGCUAAUGAAGGUGCCCUCGUGGAGUUGCUUUACUUGAAAUCCUAAGAAGUACUUUAACUCCCCCAUCAUCGACAUCUCGAAUUUUUGUGUCAUGAUCCUACUAAAUUCUUCACAUGUAGAUUCGUUAGUAGACCCAAAUAUAAUAUCGUCAACAUAAAUUUGGCAUACAAACAAAUCAUUGUCAAGAGUUUUAGUAAAUAAAGUAGGAUCGGCCUUUCCGACUUUGAAGCCAUUAGCGAUAAGAAAAUCUCUAAGGCAUUCAUACCAUGCUCUUGGGGCUUGCUUGAGCCCAUAAAGCGCCUUAGAGAGUUUAUAAACAUGGUUAGGGUACUCACUAUCUUCAAAGCCGGGAGGUUGCUCAACAUAGAAUUCUUCCUUGAUAGGUCCAUUUAGGAAGGCACUCUUCACGUCCAUUUGGUAAAGCUUGAAGCCAUGGUAAGUAGCAUAGGCUAAUAAUAUUCGAAUUGACUCAAGCCUAGCUACGGGUGCAUAGGUUUCACCAAAAUCCAAACCUUCGACUUGGGAGUAUCCCUUGGCCACAAGUCGGGCUUUGUUCCUUGUCACCACACCAUGCUCAUCUUGCUUGUUGCGGAAGACCCAUUUGAUUCCUACAACAUUUUGAUUAGGAUGUGGAACUAAAUGUCAUACCUCGCUCCUAGUGAAGUUGUUGAGCUCCUCUUGCAUCGCCACCACCCAAUCCGAAUCUUGUAGUGCUUCCUCUACCUUGUGUGGCUCAAUAGAGGAAACAAAAGAGUAAUGCUCACAAAAAUGUGCAACACGAGAUCUAGUGGUUACCCCCUUAUGAAUGUCGCCAAGGAUGGCGUCCACGGGGAGACCUAUGGUGGGAGGACCUACUCCGAGACCUAUGUUAGUACAUAUUUUAGUUUUAUUAAACCGGUUGUUUAAAGUAUUCAAAUAGAUAGAGAACCGUUUAGAGAAACUCUACAUAUAGAGGAUCCAGCAGCGUUCUCUAAAUUUAGAGGACCGUUUAGAGGACGUUGCUGGAGGGAGUAGAGGACGUCCUCGUCCUCUAAAUUUAGGGUACAGGACCCUUUAGAGGGUCUUGUUGGAGCCAGCCUAACCUUUUCACAGGCACGCAGCCGCCGCCGUUUCUUCAUCUUCAUCUUCCAUCUUCUCCAUCUUCCGCUCCCUCCCUACUCGCGCUCGGCACGCAGGCGACGGCGGCGGCGCUCAGUCUCGGGCUCUCAGCGACGGCAUCAGCUGCUUCACCUCCCGCCUCGCGCCCUUGCCUCCGGUCCUCCGCACACUGGCCGGUGACCCUGCGUGCGUGCCUCUCUUUCUCCUCCCGCUUCCGUUGGAUCAUCGACGGAGCCCGGCUCCGGCUGCUGCGCCGCGCGCGGCCUGCGGGCAGCGGGAGCCAGCAGCCGCUGCUCCACCAAGACGGUCGCGCCGCUUUGGGAGCGCUUAUUAUGCCCCAAAGCGAAGAGUGACCCGUCGUCCGCUUAGCGCUUCAGUGCGCUGAAGCGUCAAGCGUGCGCUUAGUGCCGCAUUUUGGAAUCCUGCACGCGCUUAGUGCUGGUCCACCAAGACGGUCACUGCUCGGUUUAGACUUUAGAACUUUAGAUUUAGACUGCUGAAUGGUGAAUGCUGAUAAGAGUGGUUCACUUCUUUCAGUGUUUGCUGGAUUCAACCCCCCCAAUCUCCAUCUCCGGUGCGGCGGUGUCUUGCAGCUGCAGGUACGGCUCCACCUCUUCUCCCCAGUCCCCGUUCAUCUUAACGAAAGUAAAGCCUAGUCCUGACUGAUCCAAUCUAAUUCACUUAGGGCUUGUUUGGUUCAACCCCAAUCCAUAUGGAGUCGGUUUCAAUCCCCAGUAAGUCAAAAUCCCUCUCAAUCCAUAUCAAUCCCCUCCAAUCCAUAUGGAUCACAAAUAACCGAACAAACCCUUAGGGAGGACUUCAACCAUGAGAACCACACCAAUGACUGCAGUAAGAGCUAUGAAAUGUGUUGUAACUGUGAUGGACAGAAGGCCUAGUGAGUUUUGUUUUGGUUGUGUCCUAGUCAAGUCUUGGACUAACCCAAUAACCUUAGAACAAAACACACUUGUUGUUGCUCCAUCAUCUUUUGUGAAAGAUCGAAACAAGAAUGACCUUAAUGUCCAGUUUUUUAUGAAGUCCAGUUAGUGGUAUCCGUGGCAACUAAAGAGGACACUUUCCAUCUUAGAACCAAUGACCAUUCAAAAUGUGAGGAAAUUAAAUUAAUCGAAGAUGAACUUAUUAUUGACUAUUUGAAACCAAGUCAGACAUUUAUGAUGCCUCAUAUGAACUAUCGUCACACAUACUACUACCAACCAACUUUUAUCACAUUAGAAACUCUUGAAUCAUAUGGUUUUCAGUCAUAUGGUCCAAUUGUCAAUUCAAGAGAUUAUUUCUUGGUGUCAUGUCCAUAUUUUCUGGUGAAUCGCAAUGGAGAGACUAGUUUAGCAGGAUCGCCUGUAUUUACUGAGGAUAGCAGUUUUGCAAUAGGAUUCGUUCUACGAGAUUGCCACAAUGGUAAUCAAAUGAAGGUGGCAAUAGCAGCAAAACGAUUCCGUAUAGUCAUCAUCAACAUCAUCAACAUAGCCUUUUAGUCCCAAGCAAGUUAGGGUAGGCUAGAGUUGAAACCCAACAAGAAGUCACCAAAAAGAGAAAGAGAGAGAACGGGGAGGGGAAAAGCUUUUGAGAGCACUAAAAGGGAAAAGGCCUAAUCACGAUUCGGGCACGUGGAUAGCUUCUUUCCAAGCACUUCUAUCCAAACACAAUUCCUUUGGGAUAUUCCAUUCCUUCAAGUCCCUUUUGAUUGCCUCCUCCCAUGUCAAGUUUGGCCGCCCUCUACCUCUCUUCACAUUAUUGACCCGUCUUAUGAUACCUCUGUGCACCGGUGCCUCUGGGGUCUCCGGUGGACAUGCCCAAACCAUCUCAACUGGUGUUGCAUAAUCUUUUCUUCAAUUGGCGCUACUCCUAGCCGAUCGCGUAUGUCAUCGUUUCUCACUCGGUCCAAUCUUGUGUGCCCACAUAUCCAACGCAACAUACACAUCUUUGCGACACUUAGUUGUUGGAUAUGCCAUCUCUUAGUAGGCCAACACUCGGCCCCAUAUAACAUAGCAGGCCUAAUCGCCGUCCUGUAGAACUUGCCUUUCAACUUCUGUGGCACUCUCUUGUCACAUAGGACUCCCGAUGCUUGACGCCAUUUCAUCCACCCUGCUUUGAUCCUAUGGCUAACAUCUUCAUCAAUAUCACCAUCUCUCUGUAGUAUCGAUCCCAAAUAACGGAAGGUGUCCUUCUUUGGUAUUACUUGGCCUCCCAAGCUUACAUCUCUAUCCUCACUAAUUGUAGUACCAAAGUCACAUCUCAUAUACUCGGUUUUGGUCCUGCUAAUUCUAAAUCCUUUUGACUCUAGGGUCUGACGCCAUAACUCUAGCUUUCUAUUUACUCAUUCCCGGCUUUCAUCUACUAGAACUACAUCGUCAGCGAAAAGCAUACACCAAGGGAUAUCUCCUUGUAUAUCCCUCGUGACGUCAUCUAUCACUAAGGCAAAUAUAUAAGGGCUCAAAGCUGAACCUUAAUGUAGUCCUAUGUUAAUCGGAAAAACAUUUGUAUCACCAUCAGUUGUUCGGACACUAGUCACAACCUUGUCAUACAUGUCCUUGAUGAGCGUAACAUACUUUGUUGGGACUUUAUGCUUAUCCAAUGCCCACCACAUGAGAUUCCUAGGUAUUUUAUCAUAGGCCUUUUCCAAGUCGAUAAAAACCAUGUGCAAGUCCUUCUUCUGCUCCUUAUACCGCUCCGUGACCUGUCUUAUUAAGAAAAUUGCUUCCAUGGUUGACCUUCCAGGCAUGAAUCCAAAUUGGUUCAUGGUGAUAUGCGUCAUUCCUCUCAGGCGAUGCUCAAUAACUCUCUCCCAUAGCUUCAUAGUGUGGCUCAUGAGCUUAAUCCCUCGAUAGUUGGUACAACUUUGAAUAUCUCCCUUGUUCUUGAAGAUUGGUACUAAUGUACUCCUCCACUCAUCGGGCAUCUUGUUUGAUUGAAAAAUAUGGUUGAACAACUUGGUUAGCCAAACGAUAGCAAUAUCCCCAAGGCAUUUCCACACCUCUAUUGGGAUACCAUCCGGGCCCAUCGCCUUGCCCCCUUUCAUCCUCUUUAAAGCUUCUUUGACAUCUGACUCUUGGAUCCUGCGUACAAAGCAUCUAUUUAAAUCAUCAAAGGAGUCAUCCAAUUGGGUGUCCAUAGUCUCAUUCUCACCAUUGAAAAGAUUGUCAAAAUACCUCUGCCACCUCUGUUUGAUGUCUUGACCUUUCACCAAGAGUUGAUCCAUCUCAUCCUUAAUGCAUUUAACUUGGUUGAGGUCCCUUUUCUUCCUUUCCCGAAUCCUAGCCAUUUUAUAGACAUCCUUCUCCCCUUCUUUUGUACUUAGUCUUCGGUAAAGAUCAUCAUAGGCUCGACCCUUUGCCUCACUCACAGCUCGCUUUGCAGUCUUCUUUGCCACCUUAUACCUCUCUAUGUUGAUCGCGCUCCUGUCAUGGAACAAGCUCCUGUAACAUUAUUUCUUCUCCUUUAUUGCCUUUUGAACAUCCUCGGUCCACCACCAAGUAUCUUUAGGUUCACCUCUACUCCCUUUGGUCACUCCAAACACCUCUGACGCCACCUUCCUAAUACAAGUUGUCAUCUUCACCCACAUGUUGUUUGCAUCUUCUUCUUCGGACCAAGCGCCCUCCACAAAAACUCUUUCCUUAAAAAACUUCGGAUGUCUCCCCUUUGAGUUUCCACCACUUCGUCCUCGUAAUUUUGGCUUGUUUAUCCCUAUGGGUACGGAUCCGAAAACGAAAGUCAGCCACCACAAGAUUAUGUUGGGGCACAACACUCUCCAGGUAUCACCUUACAAUCCAAACAUGCUUGUUUAUCUUCUCUCCUUGUGAGAACGAAGUCGAUCUGGCUCGAACGAUGGCCACUGCUAAAAGUCACCAAAUGAGAAUCUUUCUUUCUGAAGAAAGUGUUGGCUAUCACGAGGUUGUAGGCUACAACAAAGUCCAAAAUAUCCUCUCCUUGAUUUCUACUACCAUACCCGAAACCUCCAUGAGCCAGCUCAUAACCUGCAUUUGUUGAACCUACAUGACCAUUGAGAUCUCCUCCUAUGAAAAGCUUCUCAUUGGUGGUUACUGCUCUGACCAUGUCAUCUAAGUCUUCCCAGAACUUCCUCUUCUCGCUCUCACCGAGACCAACCUGAGGGGCAUAUGCACUUAUAAUGUUCAAGACUACAUCCCUCAAAACUAGUUUGACUAGGAUAAUCCUAUCUCCCUGCCUUUUGACAUCCACCACUCCAUCCUUGAGGCUCUUAUCAAUCAGGAUACCUACUUCAUUUUUAUUUGCCACUGUUCCUGAGUACCAAAGCUUGAAACCAGUGUUCUCCACCUCCUUCGCUUUUUGCCCCUUCCAUUUUGUCUCCUGGACACAUAGGAUAUUAACACGCCUCCUGCUCGCUGCAUCGACUAACUCUCUUAGCUUACCCGUAAGGGACCCUACGUUCCAACUACCUACACGGAUCCUAGUCGGCUCAACUAGCUUCCUUACCCCUCGCACCCGUUGAGACAGAUGCGAAGACCCUUGCACAUUUGUCACUACACCCGGGCGCCGAUGUAGCGCGCCACUAAGGAAGCGACGACCCGAUCCUUGCUCACUUGACACCGCAUCCAGAUCACGACACGGCGCGCCACCAAGGGGUGGCGGCCCGGCCCUUGCCCAUUUAACACCAUACCCGGGUUCCGAUAUGGCGCGUCGCUAAGAGGGUUACGCCCCAACGGUUUUCUAUUGGGUUUCAUUUCCAUUUGAGUGGCUAAGUUUUUUAUAGUUGGCUCGCCACGCCUAACGCAACCCUCCUCCUUGUACCUGGACUUGGGACCAGGCUAUGCUGCACGAACAUAUGCUGAGACAACAUAGGCGGAGUUGAUUAAUGAGCGAACUGGAAAAUUCCUCUUUAAGAUUGAAAAAGAUGCAGAAAGGCAAGAAGGGCGGUGUUGAUUUGACUAGAAGAUUUCAUAAGGAAAAAAGAAGUUGCAAGAUUGAUUUGGUCUCAGGUCUGCUAGUUCUUCCUCUUUUAUGCUAGCCUUCCUUUCCUCCUCUACAUUUUUCACAGAUUUAUUUGAGCUUUCACAGUUGUUUUAAUGUUUCAUUUCGUCAACUAGGUCACUUGCGUGAUGGGGACUCUAAUCAAGAUGUAUUCGCUAAGCUACCUGGCUGGGUUAAAUCAGAUAUUUGUAAAAGUGUUGUCUCAAUUUCUUUGUGCAAUGGUGAUCAUAUAUGCUGCUAUAUUCUUAGUUUUCCAACAAGUAUAUAUUGAAACAUUACCAGUUAAAUGAUUCGAGCUGCAAUCUUCUGUAGGAGACAUAACCUUAUUUUCUUGCUCGGGCAUAGCUAUAGCACACAAGGGAUACCACCUUACAAUGUGUCUGACUUCUGCAAGUUUGGUUAGGGCUUUUCAUGGUAAAACAAACGAACAAUACUAUGAAUUAAAGGUUGGUGCUGACAUUUGUUAAUUACUAUUUUGUUUGCUCCUGUUUAUUAUGUGAUUAUUUCUUGCCUUAUUAUUGUUUUGUAGAUUAAAGUGCGCUGUGAAGGCAAUGAAGUGUACAAGGGUUUUUUGGCUGAAUAUGAUUUAGAUCAUAACUUCGCUGUUGUCAACAUUGAUGCCUUCCUUGGUGUUCAUGUUGGAAGUUCCCAAUGUGUGCUGGAAUCUGUGCUCCGUGGUGCGGCAUAUGUAGUUGGGCGUGGUGUCUCUGGUGACCUAAUAUCCAGGAGUGUCGAAUUGGGCUGUGAUCUAAGCGUAUCUAAGCAUGGUCAAGAUCUUGAGAGUAAAACCUCAGAGGUACACUUGCAUGUUGAUAUGACCAUUUUAUUCUGCUUUUCUGUAUGCACGCAGGCAAUAAAAUAAAUUUUAUUUUGUUCCAUAACACCUACAUUUUGUUCAAAUGUAAGCUCUGAUUCCUAUUGCCUUUAUUUUUUUAUUAGGCUUGGGAAGGUGGAAUAGUUUUUUCUUUAAAUGGGGAAUCUGUUGGCAUGAACCUUUUUCUGGUUAUGGGAAGGACCAUUUUCCUACCAUGGGGCACAAUCUUCGAGCAUCUGCGGCAUUUCGGGAAAUCCUGGCAAAGGUAGGUAGGUCUUGCACUCAAGAAUUUUGGUUACAGGUAUGUCUAGUUGAUGUAUGCACUUCAUUAGUUUACCUACUUCAUUCUACCUCACUUCCCCCGUCCCUUUACAUGAGCUUAUAAGGGCAGCCCUUUUGUGUUCCAGGCAGCAUAUGCAUAUGAUAAUCUGGAUCAUCUGCUGCUCUUACUUAUCUUAUUUGUCGCAGUCUCUCAAUGUUUACUUUUAAUAUUAACUUGUUUCUUUAAUACCUCAACCAGAAUAUUUGCUGUCUUUAGACAUGUAUCUCAGUUUCCGUGUGCUGGAUUUGUCAUAUUUGUGCCAUUCUUGGAGCUGCAUGCUUAUCUUACUAAAAUGUGCACACUAGAAGGCAGUGAUUUCAUAUUGCCUGAUCGGCUGAUUGUUUGGCCUGGAAUUCUAAGUAUAUUCUUAUAUAGAUAUAGAAUAUACUUAUAUAGUGUAGGUAUAGAAUAUACUUAGAAUAUAGAGACUAGAAUUAUGAAUUAUGAAAAUUGACCAGCACGGCAGCAGUAUGAAUUACGAAAAUGGAAAACAGAGAUCACCAGCAAGUCUAUAUGAAACUAUGAAUUUGCAAGUCUUCUACAUUAAUCACUCACCAUGUUAUGAAUUAAACUUGCCCUAUAAACUUAAGUAAAUAAUCAUGCUACUUUCACCUUUUUUAAUGUUAUGCAUGAUGCUUGUAAGGGUAAUUUAGUUCAUAUCAUGAGGUUUCCUUAUUUUAGUAACCUUUUUAUCAUUUAUAUACUAGAGGUUGCUAAAUAGUAAACUAUUGCUUGUGUUUCAAAUGCAAUCAUUUUUAAGCUAUUUCAUGGAAAUUCAUAAGUAGAGAUUGUUCUCUUUCAUUUGGUAAAAUCACAAGCAUUAAAGGUUAAUCUUCACCUAAAAGAAAGAUUAGGAAUGCUCAAGGCAAAGGUAUGGAACUAGUUGUUUCAUUUGGUAUGUUUGUGAUUUCAUUAUAGAUAGGAAUAUAUAAACAAAUGUUGGAGGUAGACGAGCCCAGCAUACACCUUUGUGAACAUGCUUGAGCCCAUAAAGCUAGAUUCAAAUCCAGCUUUGUUUUUAGCGAGCCAUUUAAGUCACUGUCGGCAAAUUAAGAAUGUUCCAUACCUGAGCAGAUUCAAGAUCAAAGAGUAAUGCUCACAAAAAUGUGCAACACGAGAUCUAGUGGUUACCCCCUUACUGCGGGGAUCCAAGGGAGAGCUCCUGCCACUUCAUUAAAAAAAAGACCAUUGAGUAUGCUGAGCUGUAUUAUUUUUUUUUCUCGAACACGCAGGGGAUCUGCGUAUCAUUCCAUUAAUAGAUAGAAGAAGGUACAACACACCACACCCGACACACACCUGACACGACACACACACACAUGACACAACAAGACACAAGACGCAACACAGAAACCACACACAACCACUCUGAACAAGCCACUAGUCUAUCCCCCUGGGUCAAGCAUAAACAUAAGAGUUGAAAGCAGGUUUAGCCCUUUUGCCCCGGCACUACACCACAUCCUGAGCUCAUCGCCAGCGAGGGUGAGAGCACUCGCCAGACUUGGCGAUCUCCCAUUAAACACGCAGUCGUUGCGAUGACGCCAUAGGCUCCAAGCGCCAAGAAUAACUAGAGAAUUGAAGCCGGAUUGGAGAUCACGGGGAAUCUUCUCCACAGCUCUGCUCCACCAGUCAUCAAAGCUGCAACUAGCAUUAUCUGGUGAAAGGUUAGGCAACCCAGACCUGCUUAACAAGGAAUACCAGAACUGUCGUGCAAAGACGCAAGAGAUGAGAAGAUGUUGUAUUGUUUCCUCUUCUUGGUCGCAAAGGGGGCACACACUGGGGUGGGGUAGCCCCCUUCUAGCAAGACGGUCUGCGGUCCAGCAUCUGUUGUGCAUGACAAGCCAAAGGAAGAAACUGCACUUUGAAGGUGCCCAAGAUUCCCAAAUGCGCUCAUAUGCUCUCAAAGAAGUGGAACCAAGCAAUAACAUAUCAUAAGCCGACUUUGAAGAGUAUUGGCCUGUCGGGGAGAAUUUCCAGAUAUGCUUGUCUGGCACUCCAACAUUAAUGGAGUAAUCUGCAAUGACUUCACUAAGAGUUAAAAAAUCCGAGAGGACAUCCCAAGUGAUGGUGCCUCUCAGGUCCCGAAUCCAAGCCAUCUCCACGAUACCCUCAGCCACCGUUCUCCUAUUGGUAAUCCUGGUCGGGACGAUGGCAAAAAUAUGAGGAGUUAGAUCCUCAAUACUCAACCCCAUCAACCAUCUGUCCCUCCAAAAUAAGGUGUUACGACCAUCACCAAUUUCUGUAAUCAAAGCUGUAGAGAGGAUAGAUUUCAGAAUGCUGGAACUCUGGAGAGGUAAAUCAGCCCAAGACUUCGAGGGAUCCGUUUUUUCCAACCACGGCCAUCUAACCCGAAGGGCCCAAUUCAGCUUUUGUAAAUCUGAGAUGCCAAGCCCACCAAGCUCCUUUGGGCGUGUCACUUUGCCCCAAGCGACUAAGCAGUGGCCACCGAGCACAUCCUUACGUCCUUUCCAAAGAAAGCCACGUCUAAUCUUGUCAAUGGCUUUGAUAGCCCACUUAGGUAAAUCCAAUGCCAUGGCGUGGUAUAUAACUGUUGCCGUGAGCACAUGUUGCACCUGGAUGGCUCUGCCAGCUCGAGUCAUCAGGUCGGCCUUCCAAUUAGGUAAGAGGUCUGCAAGCCUAUCGAUUAGCGGUUGCAGCUGCUCCUUGCUUAGCUUCCUGAGGGAAAGAGGCAGCCCGAGAUAUUUAAGAGGAAGUGUUUCAACUUUGCAAGGAAAAAUCUGGGUUACCAUUUCCAUGUCUACCGGAGAGCAGUGAAUGGGAGCCACACUGCUUUUCUGAACAUUGGUUUUAAGCCCCGAGGCGUCCCCAAACAACUCCAAAAUCCUUGUUACCAAGUGCAGAUCACUAGCAGCCGGUCUCAAGAAAAUUACCACAUCAUCAGCAUAGAGCGAUAUUCGGUGCUGGAUGGAGCGAGUUGAGAGGGGUUGAAGCAAACCCUCAUCAGCAGCUUUAACAAUUAGGCCAUUGAGAACAUCCAUAACGAUGAUGAAGAGGAGAGGGGAUAACGAGUCCCCCUGCCGCAGGCCCCUCAAGUGUUGAAUGAAUUCCCCAGGAACUCCAUUAAGUAGAAUUUGGGUAGAAGAGGUCAUAAGCAGCCCACUGAUCACAUCUCUCCAAAUGGGGCCGAAUCCAACCUUUUCCAAUACUUCAAGCAAGAAGGACCAAGACACUGAAUCAAAGGCCUUGGAAAUGUCUAACUUGAGAAGGAUUCUGGGCUGUUUUUGAGCGUGCAGCAGUCUUGCAGUUUGCUGAACUAACAUGAAAUUAUCUUGGAUGAAUCGGCCCUUGAUGAACGCACUUUGGUUCCUAGAAACCAGCUUGUCCAUAUACCCACUAAGUCUGCUUGCCAUGAUCUUCGUGAUUAAUUUUGUGAAGCUGUGGAUCAAGCUAAUAGGUCGAAAAUCCUUGGCGAGUAUGGCAUCCUCUUUCUUAGGCAAAAGAGUAAUGAAGGCUGUGUUGAGGUAUCUGAAAUUCCGAAAGUCCUUGUUCCAGAUAGCCAUGAUAGCAGCCAUAAUGUCUUUUUUGAUGAUUGACCAGCAGACCUUAUAGAAACGGCCUGUGAACCCAUCAGGCCCCGGGGCCUUGUCCGGAGGAAGCUGCUUGAUGGUAUUCCACACCUCCUCCUCUGAGAUUGGCUGCUCGAGCCCCUGAAGGUCAGUGUGCUGCAUUUCUAAGGUGUCAAGGUUGACAGUUCUGGAUCUUUGCUGCCCUGUACCAAUCAGAUCUGAAUAAAAGGACCGGAGCACCUCUGCCUUGUCACAAUGACUGGUUACCAGCUGCUCCCCGUCUUGAAUUUUGGCUAUGAAAUUUUUUCUUUUCCGAUAACGAGACCAAGAGUGGAAGAGCCUUGUAUUAGCAUCACCAUCUUUGAGCCAAGCGAUUCUUGAUCUAGUCCUAGCCAUCGAGCGGAUUAAGGAUGCAAGAGACAGAGAGCAUUUCUUCAAGCGUCCAAACAGCCAAGUCUCCAGAACAUUAAGAAUUCUGCUCUCUUUUGCCACUUCAAGCUGCAGCAAUAUUUCUCUGGCAAGCUCAAGUUGCAGUUUGAAAUUUCCAACCUUUCUGUCACUCCAACUUUGCAGCCCUUUUGUUGUCGCCUUGAAUUUUAGGGAGAGGGUCUUGAGGGGACAGGAAGACUGCUGAACAGAACCCCAGGUAUUAGAUACCGCUUCCAGAAAACCAUCAAAUCUGGGCCAAAAUGAUUCAAAGUGAAAUCUCCGUUUCCCAGUGUGGUUGUCCUUCAAUCCCAACAGGAGAGGACAGUGGUCUGAAUCCUCUGAAGCCGAACUUUGCAGCAGAUAAUUGGGGAAUUUUUCCUCCCAAUCCGAAGAACAGAAAACCCGGUCCAGCUUGACUUGCACAUUAUUAGCGCCAGACCACGUAUAUUUCCGGCCUAAGAGGUCAAUAUCUUUGAUGCUUAAAUCAUUGAUGCACCUUCUGAACCUCCCCAUCAUGGGCCGGUUAAUAUUUAUGUUGUUUUUGUCUUCGUCUCUGAAAAUGAGAUUGAAAUCACCCCCUAGGAGCCAAGGCCCGGUGCAAGCAGCUCUGACCGCUCUCAACUCAAGAAUAAAUGCAAUUUUUCUGUCAUGACCCUGCGGACCAUACACGCAGGUGAGCCACCAAGCCACGCCAUCAGCAGGGUUGAAUUUUACUGAAACACUGAAGGAGUCCACGCGAGAGGCAACGAUUCUUCCCAAUUUUCCUCUCCAAGUAAUCAGCACCCCACCACUUGCCCCAACCGAGGGGAGACAAAUGAAGUUAUUGUCAAAAUCAGCGCCUAACAUUGACAAAACUGUGCGGCGAUCGCAAUUGACCAACUUUGUUUCUUGCAAACAGACAACAUCUACUCUUAACGAAUCAACCAAACUCCUAACAACAUCCUGUCUAGCGGCAGAGUUGAGACCGCGAACAUUCCAGAAUAGGAUUAGGGAAGGAUCCAUAGGACAACAGUUGGAAUAGUAGGCGACCGUGGGCUGUAAUCAGCAGACCAGAGUGGCUGUCCCAGGGGGAACAACCUCACCUUCAUCAUCCGACAUCACCCAACCAAAGAGAGCAGCGAGAGCCUCCACCUGGGCACGAGACAAGGGUGCUUGGAAGAGCUUCGCAUAAGCAUCCAGAUUUUGUUGGCUGAAAUGUUCACUGUCCGGCUCCGCGAGGAUGGACUUCAUGAUUGUCCUUCUUGCUUUGGGAAUAUGCUGAACUUGCUCCACUCCCAACCCCGCAACGCGCCGACUUCGGCGUAUCGCGUCCGGAAGGGAAGUGGGCUGCCUCCGUCGUCGGCCUCCCCCCAUUGCCUUCGGGAGAGGAAGAACGGCGCCAACAGCCUUAGAAACUCGACGGAGAAAAUCCUGCUGUCCUGGCGACCCAUGGGACUCCACAAGCGGGGGCGACCCAUGUGGAAGGAGCGACGCAGCCACCCCAGCAGCAGGGGCAGGAGGCAAGGCGCCCAGGCUGCUCCCUGCCCCCCGAUCAUCAGAGGAACAAGGGGGAAGUGUGGCGCCCUCAGGGGUCCCCGGAGCGCGCCGUCGCCGCCUGAAGAACGCAAUGGGCGGGUUCCUGAACUUUGCUUGCUUUGUAGCAGUCUUCAGCAUCAGUCUGCGUCUCCCUCCAGAGGAAGGACAGGGGCUGGAAACGGCCAUCGGGGUCAUGGGAAUUACUUCAGCAUCUUCGCAGCCCUCCUCGCUCCGCAGCAGCACAUCCCCCGCCAAACAUUGAACCCCGUCCGGCACAGGAGUCGGAGGAUUCCCUACGCAGCUGUCCGCCACUGUAUCAGACAGAACACAAGGCUGGCUGCUGCGGGCCUCAAGAUCAAUCUGAACCCGAGGAUGGCUCAAUUCCCUGGGGGAAUCUGAGCGCCUCAAGGGUCCCAAUCGGUCAUGAACCGGCCGCCGUUGAGUGUGGGUCUUGUUGCCAGGAACGUCAUUGAUUGCAUCAUGUUGAGCACGUGGAGGGUUGUCACUACAUCUUCUCCGUGAAGGGGGGGUAUCAGAUUUGUCCUGGUCGUCACCUCCAAUCAGCAGUGGUGGAUCACCAGUCAAGAGGCUCAAAUCAGUAGGAACCCAACGAAUUUGCACCGGGUACACCAGGGCCUUCUUCCCUUCAGCAGCCGAAGCCUGGUCUGGUUCAGUGAUCCAGAGGUCUUUAGUAGCUGGAAUACGUUCAGGGUCGCUGCACCAGGCAAGGCAUCGAAAGGCCUCCAGACUCCGGACUUCCACCGUGCCGGGCAGAACCUGGGAAAUGCACGCAUGGGGGUUGAUCAAUUGUUGCACCACCGAAGUCUCCCACGCAUGCACCGGCAGACCUCUGAGCUCAAGUUCCACAAGGUGCUUCAAGGAAUUACCACCAGCACCCCCAAACCUCGUCCAACGCCUUGAGGAGAGCAUGAAAUUUUCUUCUCUGAUGAUAGGGAAGCUAUCCACCAGCGUGUCGAGUUGCACACGGCUGGGAAGGACAGCCAAGAAGCUGGACUGGGAUAACUGCCGGAGAACCAAUCCUCCCUCCUCCAUUUCCAGCCGCGGAGCCAAGACCGACAUGAUCUCAUUAGCGCUGAUGUCCCUGGAACAAACCACUGUGAUAACCGCAGCCGUCUUGAGAUUAUCUUCCGCAAUGGACAUCUGAACAGACCAAUCAAUCACACAAGCAGUUGCAUCAACUGUCUGCACGGGAGGAGGUGGAGGUGGAGCCACAAUCUCCAAAGUCGGCUCAUCUUCACGCUCCAAAUGCUUCUUCUUCCUCCACCGUUUGCGCCUGGAGCUGGCAGGGCCGCCAUUGCCCUGUGCAGCCGAGACGCCAAGCAUGCUUCCCACCAGGACAGAGGGGGCGACCGGACCAGCUUCGGGCGUAGCGAUACGCUGCCAAACCGAACGGCGGCCUGCCCCGCGUUGGACUCUCCCCUCAACUGCCGGUGAAAGCCGCUCCCAGACCGGGACUCUGGGGCGCCCGAGCCGCUUCCACACCGGGGUCUUGGGGCAGGAGGAAGACUUGUGGCCAAGCUCCGAGCAGAGGAAGCACCGAGGCUCACUGUCACACCCUGCAGCCCUGUGAUCGCUGCCCAAGCAGUUGAAGCACCUUCCAACAAGCUCAGCAGGGACUCGACUCGGGCGUCGUGAAGCCCUCAACCGGCGUCUUCUACCUUGUUUGGAUUCCACAGUUGUCCAUCCUUGAUCAUCAAAAUUUGGAGCUGGGCGGAAAGCCGGUGUAGAGUGGGGAGCCUGCCUGGGACUCCGCCGCUUUGUAGACAGGGGGUGAGGGCAAGGUCGCCGAUGGUUCACCUUCCCCAGCGCCGAGGACGUUCCAGCUGCCAGGGCUGACUCAUGGACUACCGCACGGCUGGGCGGCAAAGGAUUCGCUGGUCUCACCAGCACGUCCUUGAAGGAAGGCCGGGAGUCGAGCGACGUCACGCCAUCCGAAGAGGCCGGACUGAGGUCACCCCACCUUAGAGACUUGGAUCGUCCCCUGGCUACAUGGGACACGGGAGGAGACAAGGAGGGGAUAGAAGCCGACGCGCCAGGGCUAGAGGGUGCUGCGGCGACGGCAGCAAGGGAGUUGGCCGCCGGCCCCGGAAUGGGAACCGGCGCGUGCUGGUGCUGGGGAGGGGCGUCGGGAGCCGAGAGGGCGGGGGCGGGAGAGACGAGGGCCAUCCUUUCCCUUGUUAUUUUAGGGGCCUGGAUUCUCUGAGCUGUAUUAUGCAUUGACAACUUUUAACUUAAUAUGCUUUGACUAAUUAUAUUUUGGUUUAACGUAAUAUGCAUUGGCUACUUUUUAAUGUUCUUGAAACCAUUUUGGUUUAAGCUAUUUCAUCACCUAUAUUCCUUGCAUGUUAUUUUUUAUAAGAACAUCUACUACGGCUGGAUGGAUAUAGUUGGCUAUCUGCAUUUUCUAGCCUUUCAUUGAAUAUUUUUCAUUUGUGCUUCAGUUCUAUCAUUUGUAUGUUGAUAUGUCUGUGUUAUUGAUCUUAUUCGAAGUUCUUGACAACAUUUGUUAUAUCGUAUCACCAUUCAUAAUCUUAUGAUUAUUUUUCUUCACUUGUCUCUUAUGAUUAUUUUCUUCACUUGUAAUUUUUUUUAAGUUUCUGCAUUUCAUUUAAUUUUGUACCCUUAUAGGUCCUAGAUGAGGUUGCCAAGAAAUGCCACUCCUGCGUUGUUGAUUUUAGCCCUUUCAAUCGCAGGGUAAUCUACAUAGCACAUUUGUCUUUGUAUUCAUUAUCUAAAGGGCAUACCCAGUGCCGAAGGCUCCUACAUGAGUAGGGUCUAGGAAAGGGAUAAAUCAAGUCAAGUCUUUCUCCUGCAAAUGCAGAGAAACUGCUUUGAACCCGCGACCUGGUGACUCAGUGAAACAACUUUCACCACAGCACCAGGUCUGCCCUUCUUAAUGCCUUGAGUUAAAAUUUUAAUUCUUUGAGAUGGGUUCCUUCCUUGCAGCAUCAUUGUCGGAACUGUGGUGAAAUCUUUUGUGACAAAUGCAGCCAGGGAAGGAUUGCUCUGACGGCUGAGGAUAAUGCUCCACUUGUCCGAGUUUGUGAUAGAUGCAUGGUAGGUUCUGCUACUCAAUUGUUAUUAUUUUUUAUUCUUACAUUGACUGGAAUUACUUUACUUCAAUGUUUGCUUUUAUCGUUAGCUCUUUCUUUCAACUCCAAUUUUAUGAAUACCAGCUUUGUUGAAACAAGAUUAUCCAGUAGUUGCCAGUUCAGUCAUCACUUCUUUGUUGCUAGCUGUUUGGAACCAGGAUUACACUGUUAUAUAUGCAGCUUGUCUUGCUGAUUUCUUUUGUAAUGUUACUUCAGAGUGGGCCCACACUAUAUCUAAGGUUAUUUGGUCGUUGCAGUUCUCUGUCUAACUAUUAUUUCAUAAUUUUUGUUUGAGAAUGUAUUUCUGGUUUGUUAGUACUGACUUAAAUACAUCUUGGCUAUAUCUAUAUUUAUGGUCAGUAGUUUCUGAUAGUUCAUGGAAACUAUGAAUUAUGAUUUUUCGUUGGUGAAGUUGCUAUGCCAUGUGUUCAUAGUUCUUAUGCCGUACAGGCUGAGGUCACUCAAAGGCUUAGCAUUGCUAAGGAUGUUGCCAACAGAUCUGCAACUGUUCAAAGUCAUGAAGAUCUUGCAAGAAAACUGAAGGUAAUAUACUGUUUUUUUCCUGUCAUAUAUUCAUUUAAGUGGUUGUGCACUUGAAUUAAUUGUGCAUGCUUGGUUUGAAACCGAGUUAUGAAAGUUUGGUCGCAUUCAUUAUAUUUAGCAUGCACUCUAUUUCAAAAAUGUUAGGUGUAUUGAAAUUAAAAAAAACAAACAUAGUAAAGUUUGACUUGACCAUCAUUCAAAAUAUAUGUAUGGUUAGUGCAAAAAAAUAUGCAUCACUAGAUUUGUACUUCCACACAUAAUUGAUAAUAUAUUAUAAAAGGAACUAAUGGCCAAAUACGCCUUCAAAUAUUUUCUGAAAUGCUAAUACGCCUUAUAAAAAAAGAUGUGAGGAGUAUUUGGUUCGGUGCCUAGAAUGUGGCAGGAGGGUUGGUAAAAGAUGUGAGGAGUAUUUGGUUCGGUGCCUGGAAUCACUCACCAUGUUGUCGCGCGUGGGACUCCGAUAUAGUGUAAUUUUUGGACCUAAAGCCCUCGUGCUCCAUCAUCCAGGGAAUCGGGUUGGUGGAUGGCUCAGGUAACACACCAAAGAGGUCGGUACAAGCAGUUACUCACUCACCAUGUUAUAUUAAAUCAUAAUUGAUAAAUUACACUAUAUCUAAGGUUAUUUGGUCGUUGCAGUUCUCUAUCUAACUAUUAUUUCAUAAUUUUUGUUUGAGAAUGUAUUUCUGGUUUGUUAGUACUGACUUAAAUACAUCUUGGCUAUAUCUAUAUUUAUGGUCAGUAGUUUCUGAUAGUUCAUGGAAACUAUGAAUUAUGAUGUUUCGUUGGUGAAGUUGCUAUGCCAUGUGUUCAUAGUAGUUCUUAUGCCGUACAGGCUGAGGUCACUCAAAGGCUUAGCAUUGCUAAGGAUGUUGCCAACAGAUCUGCAACUGUUCAAAGUCAUGAAGAUCUUGCAAGAAAACUGAAGGUAAUAUACUGUUUUUUUCCUGUCAUAUAUUCAUUUAAGUGGCUGUGCACUUGAAUUAAUUGUGCAUGCUUGGUUUGAAACCGAGUUAUGAAAGUUUGGUCGCAUUCAUUAUAUUUAGCAUGCACUCUAUUUCAAAAAUGUUAGGUGUAUUGAAAUUAAAAAAAAACAAACAUAGUAAAGUUUGACUUGACCAUCAUUCAAAAUAUAUGUAUGGUUAGUGCAAAAAAAUAUGCAUCACUAGAUUUGUACUUCCACACAUAAUUGAUAAUAUAUUAUAAAAGGAACUAAUGGCCAAAUACGCCUUCAAAUAUUUUCUGAAAUGCUAAUACGCCUUAUAAAAAAAGAUGUGAGGAGUAUUUGGUUCGGUGCCUGGAAUGUGGCAGGAUUUCAUUUCUUAUUGAUGUGUGCUAUAUAAUCUUUUGGCAAAGCAUGAACAAAUUGUGGAUGACCAAUUUCAGAACAGAAUUAAGUUUUCUACAUUUUGUGAGUUCUUAUACAGGGUAAAAGUAGGCUCUAAAGCACCAAAGAGGUCGGUACAAGCAGUUACUGCGGGGAUGUCUGUACUGCACCACGAUGGCCGGACCGGCGCUAGGUCGCCGGAGUUUCGCGUGGCAGCGUCGGUGCCGAGAAAUUGUAAAAGGGAGAUAGACGUGGGGUGUCUGCGCGAUUGUCAGUGGCACAAACAAAUAGUGGCAGGAGCUCGGGUUGGUGGAUGGCUCAGGUAACACACCAAAGAGGUCGGUACAAGCAGUUACUGCUUUUUCAUGUGUUAUUAGACACCUCGUGCCCUAUAAACUUAAGCCCUCGUGCUCCAUCAUCCAGGGAAUCGGGUUGGUGGAUGGCUCAGGUAACACACCAAAGAGGUCGGUACAAGCAGUUACUGUGGGGAUGUCUAUACUGCACCACGAUGGCCGGACCGGCGCUAGGUCGCCGGAGUUUCGCGUGGCAGCGUCGGUGCCGAGAAAUUGUAAAAGGGAGAUAGACGUGGGGUGUCUGCGCGAUUGUCAGUGGCACAAACAAAUAGUGGCAGGAGCUCGGGUUGGUUAAGUUGGAGCACGAGGGCUUUAGCGCAAAAUGGCCAGUGCGGACGCGGGCUCCCCAGUCGUGGGCCGACUGUGCCUGGAAAUGGGCCGACUAGGUCAGUUUCAGCCGAGAUUAAGGAUUUUUCUUUAUUCUUUUGUCUGAGAGAUUAUAAGAGUUACCAAAAAUCAUAGAAACAACCAAAAAUCGUGGGACAAAUUUUAUUGGAUGUAUAAAAUCAAGAUCUCUCGGAUAAAGUUGGUUCUAGGAUUUUUAGAACAGUUUACAAAUUUUAAGUGAUUUAAGUGUGCUCUAAAAAGGAUUAAUUCAAUUUUAGUGAGCAGAGUAGAGCACCAAAAAUCAUGGAAAAUUUUGGAGAAGCUUGUUAUCUGGAUAUGAGUACUUGGUAAAAGUUUGGUGCUCUUUGGAAGCCAUUUGCUCAGGAAAUCUAGUAAGGUCCAAAUAGAAAAAAAGAUAAACUCUUAAUAAAAAUUAAAAAGUGAAUUUAGUACUUUAAAGAGGAGACAAGUCUAUUAAGUGGAAUUUGGUUUUUGGAUGAAGAAACAAGAUUACCUAGUAGAAUCUAGGUUUUGGUAUAAUUUAAGGUUGUUCUAAUCCCUUGAUAGUUCAAGCUUGUAUGGUUCAUUACAUGAGAAGAUUAAUCUCUAGGUAAAUAUUUGAUUAAGUAAUGGAUAAGGGAACAAAAUUACUUGGUGAGCUAUGAACCUUUGGAAUAGGUUAAGCGUGUUCUAGUUCCUUGGUGGUCAUAGCUUAUAGGUGUAACCUUUAGAGUUCCUCAUGUUUGAAAAUCCCCUGUUGUUUGAUUAGUUUUGUGUGCACCUUUAGAAGUAUGUAAUCUUGUAAUGCUUUAAAGUAUUUUCUUUGCAAACUGCAUAAGCAUAAGCAUCCAUGAUCAUGUCGUUUCAUGUAGAAUUCCCUGAAGGAGUGAAGUACCAAGAAGAAGGGAUCUUUGGAAAAGGAGCCUACUCCAACACUGUUGAUCCAGUGGAAGGGCUCCAUCUAACUGGGUAAUUGGUAGAGGGAUCUAGCACCUCUUCUUUGCAACAAAGGCAAGCCCCGGUGCAUUUGCCCCUUCCUUGUAUUUUUAAAAAGACUUUUAUACACUUUAAGUCUAGUGAAAUAUGCAUUAAGUUCAUAGAAGUUGCUUGGAAACCAUUUGAUGCAUUGACUACCUUGAUUUCCAAUCCUGUAUAGAUACUUCUUUUGAAGUAUCAAAUAUUGUUUACAAAAUUGCUUAGCCCUGCUUAGAUCUUGUGGAUAGGGGUUGUCCUUUGCCUAGCUCGAGGAAGGAUGGCUUCUACCUACAAGAAUAUUUUCACCAAGAACAUGGUGGGAUCUUGCUACAAGGUUCCGUAAAAUAUUCUAUUCCUCCUAAGGUACACAAAUAAAUCCUAAGGAUGGAAGUACUUAAAUCGAGACUUGGGCUAGAAACAGGUGAUGUUUCACCCAGGUUGAUUAAGGAUUUUCUCGAGUGUAGGAUUGCAUGAUCAAGGACUAUCUUAACUGGCCACAUGCCCUGGAAAUGGGACAGGGUAAGCUUGAACCCGGCUAUUCCAUAUGUGAAAAGACAAUCGCGCACUGGGAGUUGAGAGAUGGGAGAGUGGCAUGUACCCUUCUGGCAAAGUACCGCCUAAAAAGGGUAGUGUGCUCUCGGGUGGCGCAGACCUGUUCAUGUAGUGGAGGAUCCAUGGGAAUGGUAGACAUAUGCAAGAGUUACAAGAAGCAUAUGUCGUCUGGUUAGAGAUCCUCAGCUGAGUAAAUCGAUUCGGAUCGCCUUAUAUCCCUGGAUAGUGGAGACUUGGUCACUGUCUUACAUCGUAAGUCAGGAUGAAAUCAAAAUGAGUAAAGAAAUUGUUGUAAUAAUUAAUGAGAUGAUUAGACUAGAUGCAAACAAAGUCUAUUAAUACUUAAUCCAGCAUUAAAAUGUGAAAGUAAGGACUCACUUUAGUAAGCUUUUUCUGCAAAAUAUUAAAGUUGAUUUUUGCUAAAUGCCUCUCCUUGGUUCCCAAAUCCAGCAUAUCCUUGAGGGUCUUUUUCCUUAGUCGGGUAAGACUUGCGAAAGUACAUUUCGUACUCAGGGUUUUCGAACCCAAUGUUGUUGCAGGUGAUGAGGAGUAUGCUAGGUGUUCCUGUGGCUGGAGGGCAUUUCCGGUCCUGAAGGAUGUGUAGUUAGUUGUAUGUGUAAGCUUAGGAGGGUUUCUACCUUCCUGCUUUUGUAACAAGUUAUGCACUUUGAUUACUAUCAGGACUUGUAAUAAAUAUAACUUUUUCCUUGAUGUAAACACUUGAGUUUUGGGAAAUAAAAAGUAUGUUUGUAAAAGUCUUCCGCUCUUAGCUCCGAAGUGUGUGUGUAUCGAAUGUUGAUUACUGUAAUAUGCAUGUGAUAGGAUAUCCUUGGGAUAAUGAGUUCAAGUUGUUGAACUCGACAGCCUUGUUAAGUUACCCGGUACACGUGCAUAGCCAUCUGAGGCCAUUAAGACAAGGAUUGGUGCAUGUGGGCCCGUUAACUUGGGAGGGCUGCCACAGAUUGGUAUCGAAGCA